rnacentral:lncRNA from 1 species
GAUGACAGAGUCGAUCUCUCCUACUAGGGCGAUAGAUCUGACGGCAAAAGCCCGAUCGUCCCUAGAAGAAGCUCAACAAAGUCAUUUCUGCAAACGAAGAUCGAAGCCCGACGAUGACAGAGUCGAUCUCUCCUACUAGGGCGAUAGAUCUGACGGCAAAAGCCCGAUCGUCCCUAGAAGAAGCUCAACAAAGUCAUUUCUGCAAACGAAGAUCGAAGCCGACGAUGACAGAGUCGAUCUCUCCUACUAGGGCGAUAGAUCUGACGACAAAAGCCGAUCGUCCCUAGAAGAAGCUCAAAAGUCAUUCCUGCAAAAAAAAAAAAAAAAAAACAAAAAAAACAAAACAACACAAAAAAAACAAAACAAAACAAAACAGAAUUAAAAAAAGCAAAACAAAAAAAAAACACACACACAAAAAAAGAGAAAAAAGAGAAAGGGAGAAGAAAAGUUUUCUAUACCUUUCUGCUGAUUGGAUGAGGUAUAAGUGAGUAGGGUGUGAGUCUAUUUAUAAGUCCAACAAAUCCAAUUUUUAAAAGGAUUAGGAAUGAUAUUUAAUUAUUUUUUUUAAAAAAAAAACAAAUCCAAUUCCUAAAAGGAAUAGGAUUGAUUUUAAAUAUAUAUAUAUAUAUAUAAAGAAAAGAUAAUCCAAUUAUCUUAUUUUAUUUUAAAUUAUUUCUUUUUUUUUUGUUGGAUAAAUCUCAAGUUUAACUUUUAUUGAGAUAUUUAAAAUAUUUAAAAAUUUCAACAUUUAAAAAUAUAUAUAUAUAGAUAAAUAUUCUCAAUUUCAAAAUUCAAGUUAAAUUAACUUGCAUAUAUGACCUCAUUUUUAUCAUGAAUUUAAAUCGGAGCAUAAAUCCAACUUUACCUAAGAUUGAGGACCUGAUUUUUUAUCUCAAAUUAAAAUUGGUCAUUCCAAAUUCUUAUGCAUCCCCAAGAUAAAUUAAGGUACGGUAGAAACUUUAUCCUUAUUUCAAAAUUAAAAUUUUGGUUAUAUUCCAAAUUUUACUUAAAAAAAAUCAUCAUAUUAAAAAUUUUUUUUAUCCUCAAAUAAAAUUAAGUUAGGAAUAAAACUUUGAAUUUUUUUAAGGUUUGGCCAUAUUCCAACCCUUAUUUUAAAUUGAAAUCAAACUCACGUACUAAAUUCAAGUUUGAUUAAUUUGAUAUAUUGAAUUGAGUAAAAAAAAAAAAAAAAAAGAAGCUCGUACUUUGACUUCAAAUUUAUCUUUUCGAGAUUCAUUCACCCAUAUACGUGCAUAAAUCUCGAAAAGGGGGCAUUUGUUGAAUAAGAAAUUUUGAGACUAAUCACUAGUUGCCAUAUCAUUUAUUAAGUUAAUGAUGAAAAGUACAAAUAAUUAAAUUUGGGACUAAUUAAAAUUGACAUAUGCUCCAAAUUAAAGAGUUGAAAAUAAAUAAAAUGGUCAUUCUAAUAAUGCCACAUGUUUUCAUAUUAAUAGUUGGAUUAAGUUAAUCAUUUUAGUUCAAUUAAAUAUUAUUUACUUGGACUAAGUUCAAUUAAGCCCAAAAAAUAAGCUUAAUUGAACCCAAAGACUAAAUAUAACCUAAGUCCAUAUGGUUGAGCCCAUGGGUCUGGUCCAUGGACCAACCAGGUUCAAACCCAUAAAGCCCACCAGUGAAAUCUAUAAAUAGAGGAAUUCUCCUCAUUUGUAGGGGUUGGAAAUUUUGACUCUAGAAGAUCCAGAGAGAAUUCUUCAAAGAGCUAGAAGACUCCCUAACUCCUGAAGUCGACCAUCCUCGAAGAUUGAAGCUUCUUUAAAGAUACAAGCUUUCUUCAAGGCUUCAACUUCAAGAACAUCACGUGCUUCGCUUCCUCAAAUCAAGCUGAAGCAUCCAGUUGAGAGAGAAUCAGAGGAUCAAAUUCUAGAGAUUGAACCGCAUCGCAUCAAAUCAACAAAAUACAACAUCAAACUCAAGUUCAAGUCCACGAAUUAAAUUCUCCGAAAAUCUCGUGCGAACACAUAUAUUUCUAAAUAAAUUUAUUCGACGAAAGUGGCUAGAUUGGUGGGUUCGACGGCGAAGGCUUGUUGUGGCAGCAACGACAACAGUGGUUGGAGUGUGGAAUCGACGACGACAAGUGGCAAAAAAUUGGAAGGCAAGGGUUCUUCAUAACGACUCGGUAGCCCACUUCGUUCGACGAGAUUUUUUUGCAUUUUUGGUAGAGUGAGAAAAAAUUGCAUUAAGACUUCAUUCGACGACAUCGUUUUUGCUUAAGAGAAAAUUUGAUGUUUUUACUUAGUUGUAAUUGCGUGAGAGAGGGAAAUUAAAAAAUUUUGAAAUUUGAGGUUUUUUCAUUUGAAAUUUUUUUUAAUGACAAAAAAAUUGUCGUUAAUUAAUGACCCAAAAAUUGUGUGAAAUAAAUUAAAUUGUGUCAAUAGAAUUGUUUUAAGAAAUAAUCCAUAUUUUUAUUUUCAACAACACAUGUACCUCAUCCACCUCUUUUUUCUUUUAUUUUCAACGACACAAUGUCUUGAUUAAAAUCCAUUUUUCUAGUGACAAAUGUAUCCAUACCAAAGUGGGAAGCAGCUAAGGGGACGAAGGUAUAUUCGGAGAGAGAUUGUUAAACAAUUGUAAAAAGUAAGCCCAAGAAGAGAGGUCCAAUAAAAUUCAGCCACCUCUCACAUAGUAAUUGAAAUAGUCUAGCAAUUUCAACCAUUUCCCUCACAGAGAAGAAGAAGACCAUAGCCACUCGAGGCUUUUGCACAUACAAACACCAAGAAGAUGGUGUCCGGUUCCGUACCUGUGCUAAGCGCGUCGUUGUUGACAUAAAGUUUCUAUAUACAAAGCUAUGUAUCUCUACCCUUGACUUCUCUUUCUCUCUUUCUACCUUUUUUAUCCUUUCUUUCUCCCAUUCACUCAAUACACUUGCAAGAACCUUCAUUUUUUUUGUAUUUAAAUUUUCUUGGCACCAUCCUUUUUUAAUUAUCAAGGCUUUGUUAUUGUGUACCUGUAUUGUGUCGUGCCUCCUUCACUUCUCAUCAUCAUUUUCAUGUCACAUCUCUACCUUGUCAAUUUUCGUUUUUCACUCAGCUUUCUUUCUUCAUUUGUCUUCACUACUCUCUUCGCUCCUUCUUCUCAAGCUCUAACUUUUGCUAUUAUUAACCAGUCUCAAAUGACCAUUGGAAAACCUAUAGCCCACUGAGAGGCAGCCAAUAUAGUAAUGCCUCUAAUGAUAAACUCCAAUGAAAUCAAAAGUUCUUCUUUGAGAUUUGGAAAAAUAUAUUAGAUAAAGCAUAAUUAGUUGAAAAAGAACCUUAAAAUUUUGUGUUAAACGACUACAAUUUCAUCGUAGAAUAUGCCAUAUUGACAGCAUAUUUUUCCUACAAAAACAUAUUAACUAAAAUAAGCUCAUAAACACGAAAAUGCACUAAGUGUUGGUUAACAUACACUACCUUGAAAUAUGAUGAAGACUUUAUUUCUCCCAACCAGACAGCAUAAUCAGGAGGUAGUUUGGGAGCAAACAGAAUUGACUUAAUUUCCACUAGCAAUAUCCUAUAAAAAUUUCAAAUUCUUGAAAUAUGGAAACCAAUGGAAGUUUUAGGGAAUGAAGUAUAACCUCUAAAUACAGAAGGACGACAUAAAGGGGAAUGAAGACUCGAAAGAAGGACGACGUUUUCGUAGAGAAGGACGACAAUUUUGAGGGACAACGGACACGAUUUCAGAGUAUUAGGGAUGGUAGAUGGCGAAAGUCUUAGGGAUCUCGUACUCAGUGGAUGGUGAACGACUGAAAGCGAAGGACCUAGUACGCAUUUUUGGAGAGGGCGUGUGAACGCGGAUGGACGGACGGUGAACACGGCAGAAGUGAGAGAUCCUCAUAGAGAACUUGGCAUUUUCGAAUGCGGUAGAGACAAGUCUAGGGCUUCGAAGGAUUCAACCCAAUAUUUUCUUUAUAUAUAUAUAUAUAUAUAUAAUAUAUAUUUAAUAACACUUGACGUUUUUAAAACGUAAAGAAAAACGAUUUUACUUGACGUCUAAAAAACAUCAAGAAAUUUAAAAAAUAACUCUUCUCCGGCUUUUUAUAAAAAUUCUUGACGUUUUAAAACAUAAAGAAUUUUUAAGAUAUUUCUUGACGUUUUUAAAAUGUCAAGUAAAAGUACAUAUUACUUGACGUUUGAAAAUUUUGAAGAAUGUUGAAUAUAUAAACAUUCUUGACGUUUUUAAAACGUCAAGAAAAAAUACAUAUUAGUUGAUGUUUAAUAAACGUCAAGAAAUCUGAAAAUUGACCUACCCUCGCCUUUUCUAAAAAUUCUUGACGUUUUAUCUUUGGAACUACCCCUUUCUUGACGUUUUUUGAAAAAAAAUGUCAAGAAAGAAAAACAACAAACGUCAAGAAAGGCCUUUUUUGUAGUAAUGACAUACAAUAUAUAUAUAUACAUAAAUAAAUAAAUAAAUAUAUAUAUAUAUAUAAUGAAUUAAAAUGGUUUUGUUGCUUUACUGUUUUACUCUAUAAAGGAAGAGCAUUAUAAAUAUAUUAUUGAGGAAACAUCUUUCGAAAUGACUGGUUUUGGAAGUGUCAUUAGAUUUUUAGUUAGUUAAGCACAUUUUCCUCCCAAAUAGUAGUCGAAAUACAACUGUUUUUUAAGAAGAAGAAACCGAAUCCUUCAAACUAGGAUAAAAGUCAUUAUCUAUUAACAUAGAGUUAAAGUUACAAGGUUGAAGGCUAGAGGGAAGCCUGAAACAACCUAAUCUAACAAAGCUUAAAGUUAAGAGUUGGUAGUAACAUCAUAUUAGUUACAAGAUGAAUGACGCCUAGACCAAACUUCGAUCAAGUUACAUGUGUCUUCCCACAAGUUAACAAUAAACCUUGAUUUAUCCUUAAAAAUUCUAUUGUUUCUUUCUAUCCAAACAAUCCAAAGUAAGCCAGUUAUGGAGGAGGAAUACACAUUAGAGAGCUCAAUUAUGGAUGGAGGAAUACACAACUUUUUCUCGUGGUCAUUUUCCUCGUGGGCAUUCUCUUCAUGUUUCUUCUUAUUCCGACUAAAAUACAAGCACAAAUUAUUCUUCGCCUUCGUAUAGGUUUGUUUGAAGAAGAUUAAAAAAGUCCUUAAUUUAUCUCGACACUUCCAAAACCAGAAUAUAAUACCCGUGCUACAUAAAUCCCUCUUUCCAAAUAGUCGAACAUGAACUAUCCAUGCAUAUCUUGGAAUAAACAAGAGAAACCCUAACUAAACGCAAAUAGAAAAUACGUUGCAAUCUAAAAUAUAGUUAAAGAAACAAAAAGAAGUUUUAAUGUUGUGGGUUUUUUACUGAUCUUCUUCAACAACAAAAUAACUCAACGCCACAGUUCAAUUUUUCCUUCCACGAAUUGGGUUUUUAAAGAGUUUUCACCGCGAAUAAAUUUUUUUUGGUUCGACAAGUAACAACAUGUGAAUCCCCAAAUGCAAGGUUUUAUUAAAAAUUAAAAAUAUAAUUUUUUAAAAAAAUUAUAAUACCUAAAAAUAUAUUUUUUUUAUAUUUAUAACCUAAUUUUCUGUCAUUGCAUACUUGAGAGAAAUAUAUUUUUCAAUUAGCAUAAUAACCUUUAUAUAGUAAAUUAAAUUUGUAGAAUGAGAAAAGACCUUAGAUCCAAAAAAGUUAUUUAUUUAUUAUUGGAGUGAAUUGUAUAAUUAAUGUAGUUAAUGGAUGGUUUUGUAACCAUAAAAAAAUAAUGAAAAUAAUUUUCUAAAAGAAUGAAUGAAAAUUUGGAAAGUUAAAAGGUUUUAGGAAUUAAAAAAAAGGGUGUAACAUUAUAAAAGACUACCAAAUAUACUGUAAGAGACAUGCAUUAAAGGAGCUGAGUGUCACGUGUGAAAUUUUGACCCCAAAAAUCACCCCCAAAAUUGCGCUAAUUCAUGCCACGACUCCUUCAGCAAGGCCCAGGAGCAGCCCAACGUGGUCCUAAGACAGCCUAAGGGCGACCACGACAUGUGCCUACGGCAUUGGCAUGCACCUCUCGAGGACAGCUCACAAGCCCCGCACGCGUGCCACGACGAGUGCCCAUGACAGCCGAGUGUCAGCCCACGACACAGCCCCAUAGCACGCCAGAUGCCCGUUGACACGGCCAUAGGCGCCCGGCACCAGCGCCCACCAUCGACCCAGCGCGCGCCGUGUCCGCCCAACGUCCAGACGGCCCCAGAACCUCCGAGAAGCUUCCAGAAGAAUCGGGAAGGCGCGCAACACUUCGCGUGGCGCGCACGGCGCGAACCCAACGCGCGCGCCGACGCCCCCAGAUGCUUCCAGAAGGCUCCACACAUGCCCAUGUGUGUGCUGCCCGCCCAUGCUCAGUCUAGACAACCCCAGAAGCCUCUAGAACGUUCGAGACAGUGCCAGAAUGUGCUGGAAUGCGCGGAGGCUCCCGAGAAGGCCCCGGAACGUGCUGGAUGAUGCUGGAACGUGCUGGAACACUCUAGAAGGCUAUAUGACGGUCAGCGAGUGUCAUGAAAGGUCUAGUCCUCUCUAGAAUGUUCUAGGCUUCCUUGUUAUGUACCAAAUGAACUUGUAAUCUCUAGAAUCUCCCUUGGCCGACCUUCUAAGGCCCAAGGUCGGUGGGGAUGGUCUAUAAAUACUUGGGAGGGCCUCAUUUGUAUCAAGCCUUGCAACCUUGCAUCUUGGCAUGUCUUAGCCAAGCAAGGUCACCUUGCCACCCAAAGUCUCCUUGCCCAUGGUAUCCCCAUGACAAGAAGACAGCAUAUUUGUACCCAAAUAUGUAUUCAUCUAUUGUUGGAAUGCAAUGUAUCAUUCCAAAGACGUAUCCAUCCAAACUCCCUCAUCCUUCCAACCUCUCUCAUGUCUUGCAACCAACCUUAGUACUUCCGCUGCAACCGUUGUCGUAGUGCUUGGCACACUACCCCUUCCGGGAAAGGCUUACUUGGCUACGUGGGCAUUGUAGUUAGCCAAGUGCCGCAUGUAUGGUUAGCUUCAAGAUCCUAACCACGUGACAUGAGGCAUGCAUACUACCAAAUAUACUAUAAAUAAACCAUAAUUCUUUUUUAAGAAAUUAAACAACUAAUUAAAUAUAAAGAAGAAAGAUUAGAAAAUGAAUGAUCAAACAAACUAUGACUCAUUUAUUUUUGACAGGUUCGGCCAGUAUCACCUGACAAUUCAUUUUCACCAAGAGAAUAAACAUGAGUAGCCUUGGAAUCAAGUUCCUCCGAUAAAAGCCACGGAGUUGAUGGGUUAGAGACAGAACCAGAAUUUGAGUUCAACGAUGUGGAUGGAAAAUUCUGAAACUAGGAGCAACAGGAAGUUAAGACAACGAAUUAUUUUCAAUAUAGAAAGGCUAAUUGUAAGAAGUUGUUAAUGAAGUGUCCAAAUGCAUUAUGGUAAUAUUGGGUGCAGAAUGUUUGGAAGUUUUAUCCGUGUGCUGUGAAGCACCACAGAGUUGAAGCAUAUGAAACCAGUGUUUAUCUGACAAAAAAUAGUGUCAUGAUCAUUGCCUUUCCAUUCCAUAAAUUUAUGGAUAGCAGAAGAAAGAGAACUCUCAACACUUGAAUCACCAUAUAGCACUCUACAUCCAGGUGGUGCCUUGAUUUUUGAAGAUUUAGUUAAAAGCAGUGAUAAAAUUGGUACAUAAAUUACAGUGCAUUUCUCGAUAUGCAACAACAUUAAGAGCAACUUAAAGACAACAUCAUCAAGAAAUCUAGUAUUUAAAAUGUACAAAGAGCAGUAGUAAACAUAUGUAUUUUAUGGCUGACUUUAUCCAUAAUAAAUGUUGGAUUAAAUCAUCAAAAUAAAACACAAACAGAUAAUUAUCGAGUUUUUCAAUGGAGGAUAGAGAGGAAGACAUGCAUGCACAACUACUAGAUCUAUAUGGUGCCAGACUGCCAGUAAAAAUUUAAAGACACACAUGACAACAUUAUUUUGGAUGAAGUUCUAAUAUUGCAACCAUGGAGGAAAAAUCAGCAAAUCUUAAAUAGAUGUAGUAGUCCAAAUGAUAAAAGUUUGUCUCAAGAUAAUAUUUCAGUAACUGCAGAUGCAUUGUGUUGAACCUAACCUCUUGUGUUUCACGGUAAUGAACAAGGACAAUGUGUUCAAAGGUCCUGAACAAAAAGCAGAAGCAAGUCAUAAAUUAUAUAAGUAGAACACGAUAUACUGCCACUUCUAAUUUCAUUUUUCUUUGCUUGUGGCAUGAUGGGGAUAGACCCCACUGAAACAACUGGUAGCAAGCAAUUUAACAAUUUUCUUUCAACCAUAACAUACUUAUCUAGGAGCCAAUAACACCGGCGAACAAAGGUUGGGCUAUCUAGUCCAUGGGCAUAGUAUACAUGUAUCCUUUCUACAUUACCAACCUGCCGAAGAGAAAGAAAAGAUUAUCAAAGCACACCUUUUCUUGGUUAUUAAGGCUGUAAAAGAAUGAAAAUUACCAUAAAUCUAAACACAGUUAAUAUUAGACCAUUGAACAACCUAUAGAUUCAAAAGGAAAGACUCAAACCACCAAUAGACUGGUUAAUCAUUUAAAAUGAUCUCCAACAACAUGAUACGCAGUAUAUCGUGCUAGAUCCAUAAUUACCACAUGUGGACUCCUAUGGUAAUUUCAUUGAUGAUACGCAGCUAGUAGGCAAGAUUAUGAAAUGAAGACGGUAUGUGAGAAGAUUGAAAAGAUCAACAUGAUAAAAUUAUAGGGAUUUGAAUUUAUAUCUUAAGAACACCAGAGUCAAAUGCUUAAGCUGAUUAACUGUGUUAAAUUUAACUCUAUAAUAUAUUUUAAAUCUGAACAGUCAUUAAACAACUACAUUUUGAAUAAGCUUUAGAGAAUAUUAGCAAAAACAGUAGAAAUUACUUCAAAUUUGUAGAGAGAACAUAUAAAUUAUAUUCUACAGAAACACGAGCCCAUAGCAUGUCUACUGAGUAGCAAUGACAGUGAAAAAGGGAAUAGUAAGUAACUAAUCUCAUAAACCCCUUUCUCACAUCUAACCAAGUUCUUUCAUGACAUGCAAAAGCAUCAAAAUAUUUAAGAAAACUUCCAAUAUUGCAUUUGGAACUCAUUGAUUGACUUCAACGUUUAAGAGUCAUAAAAGACACAACUUACUUUCUCACCUGUCACCACUAAGCCUACGGCAACAUCUUUUUAUAAGAUAUUCAGCUAAUCUUUAGAUUGUUUACCGAAUAAUCGUCUAUUGUUUUGUAAUUGAUCCCACCAAGCGCUUGCGCCACCUUGAAGUUUGAGAGCAACUAAUCGAACCUUCUUGUGUUCGUGGUGUAUUGGCAUAGUCGAAAAAAUUUCUACGUUCUUGAUCCAAUCAAGAAACUUCUCCACGUCCAUUCGACCAUUGAAGGUAGGGAGAUCCACUUUCAUACGUAUUUCUUGAUCUUCUUGAAAGUAUGGUCGAAGUCCAAGCCUUUGUUGAGGUUCUUGAUGAAUGUUCAGCAAGUUGUCUUCAUCGGAAGAGUCAGAAUCAUUUAAGAAAUUUCAGGUACGUUGUUUCCAUACAAUCGAUUAUUGUGGAUGUGAAUAGGUUGAUUUCUUAGUAGUUCUUAGUUUACAACAGGGUUUAUUGGUCUUUCUUGUCUUUCUUGGUUUGCUGCAAUUGGGUUUCUUGGGGCUGAAUUGCUUCUUCUAAAGGUUGGACAUGAAAUCGGGUAAAAAGGUUUGUUAAUUCUACUAACGAUUGCUGUAUAUCUGACUGCCCUUUUCGAAGUUCUUCAAUAGCUUGUUCUACCAACUGCAAGCGUUGGUUGAAGGAGGCUUCCGCGUCCAUGGAUAAGAGUGGUAGGAUCCAAGUUUUUUUAGGGAAGAGUGAGCUAGGAUCACGCUCUGAUACCAAUUGAUUCAGUAAUUGCAAAGCUAGAAAUCUUUAUGUAUAAUGCCUCUUUUUUUUUAUGUCUUAUUAAUGAAAAUGAGAAGCUUUUUUAUAGGCUGGAGAUUAUAAGAGUUGUUAAACUAACUUGGGGUUGAGUUAGUUAACUUGGAGUUGAGUUAGUUAUAACUAACUCAAGAUACAAAAUUGGUAAUUCAAAUAACUAAUCCUAAACUAUAAAAAUGGUAAUUCAAACCCCUCCUCUAGGAUAAAACUCAAGAAACAUCAAGAAGGGAGAUGUUCUACAUCAAAGUGUAGAGAACGAUUCAAAAUCCUUGGUGAAAGAAAUGAAUGUUAACUAAUGUGUGUUUAUGUGAAAUUGUUCAAUGAGUAUGUUAAGGAUAAAGAAAGGUUUAUGCGAGAUAAAAUUAUUUGAUGUUGUUUAUGCGAAAUGAUGUUUAUGAAAAGGUAUUGCGAAAAGGAUUUCAUAAAACCUUAGUCUUUUAGACAUUCUUUCAAAAAUUCAUCUUCCAAGAUGAGGUGUUUAGGCCAAGUAGAGAAGAAGGUUGAAGGAUUUGCAGCGAGAUGACCAGACGUUUUGAAAAUAGUUAAGCAUUGGUUGUUUGGUCAAAGUGUUGUAAUUAUGUAUCAAACACAUGUUAUUAAUAAACAUCUUGGUAGGUAUUUAUUAUACUUGCACGCCUACUCUCACAUUUAGCCAUAUGUUGUACUUUGUUUUCCACCUUGACUUUUAAUGACACACAAACCAACUUUCCAAGGAAUUCCCUUUCAUUUUCCUAUUAACUCAUAUUCUCUUUUUUUAUCAAGUCCUUGAUAGAGAAAGUGGACUUUGAGUUGUUGGACUUUAGUAUUGCAUGGACAUACAAUUUUGAAUGAAAAAUCCUUAUAAAUGGGGCCUUUUAACUCAUUUGAUGGGUUGGCUAUUGAAUUUGGGCUUUCAUACCAAAUGGAAUUUUUUUUCUUAUUUACUUAAAGAAAAAAAAAAAAAAUUUACCACGCCCAUUUUUUUUCAUCUAUUUCUUUCGUCCGGUUCUUUCAUCCAACGAGUCCCACAACUCGAUUAUGAGUCUAGAAGUACUAAGUCAAACUUAGUGGUUGUUCGAAUAAAACGCAACUUCAAAUGUAAGUAUUCUAAAAACCUUAUUUUUUGGUUUAGUCUCGUUAAUUAAGCCCAAUUAGGGUAGAAUUUCGAUUCUUUUUCUGUUGUGCAUGUCUUAGUUCUAUCAGUAACUCCCUUCAGGGUGAUAACUCUCAUCAGCAGACUUUCCAUUACUGGUUUCUUCCUUAGUCAUCAUUAUAUUGUUGUUUUCCACAAUAGAUAGGGUGAGUUGCAGUUUUACAUGAAAUGCUCUGCUCACCCACACUCUUUUCUCACUAGUUCCUUAUUCUCAAUCUUCAACGCAAAUUUCAUCAUCUGGGCCAACCCAAUCGGUUCCACAGUUUCCACUUCCAUUUUUAUUCAUGGGCUAAGCCCAAUCAUCAAAGUCUCCUCUAACACUACCGUUUGAAGAAAUGCUACUAGAGCUAAAUAUCGAUCAAAUCGGUUGCGGUAUUCUUCUAAUCAUUUUCUGUUUGAUUGAGAAAAAUCUUCCAACCAAAGUUCCUUCUCGAAUUGAUCGAAACUGUACAAGCAUUCGUUCUUUCAGGUCAGCCCAAUUCUUAAAAACUUCCAACUCUUCUUGUGCUUGGUACCAAUCCAAUGCCAGAUCAUCAAAACUAAUAACGCUGUGGUUAAUUUCUCUGAAUCAGUAAGAUCAUGUAUCUUAAAGAAGCGAUAGGCUCUAAAUUGAGACCCAUUUCUAAUUUGAGUAAUGAAGUAAAUUUGGCUAGGUAUUAAGAAUUUGGCGUUUGAAUAAAUCCACGAAAAGGAUUAAGCGAUAAAAAAAUUUAUGGUUAAGUAUACGUUAUUGCGAUUCAGUGGGUAGUUCGCGAAGGAAGUUGUGCGACCCAUUUCUAAUUCGAGUAAGGAAGUAAAAUUCGGCUAAGAAUUAAGAAGUUGGUGUUCAAAUAAAUCCAUGGAAAGAUUAAGUGAUAAGAUCUUUUACGGUUAAGUAUACUUUUUUGCGAUAAGUGGUAGUUCGCGAAAGAAGUUGUGCGAUAAGAAGCGAAAAAGUCUUUGCGUAAGUUAGAAAUGAAAGUUUUGAGUGUUAGACUAGGAGUUUUGGGUGGUCUUCGCGAGAAGAACCAAGUGUUUCGUGGAGAAGAAGUCUACGAGGAAGCCUUGGAGUUUAAGUUCGUGAUAAGAGUUUUAUGCGAGUAAAAGUUGGUUAGUUCAUGUGGAACGUUUCUUAUAAUAAAAAUAUAAUCAAGCGAUAAGGUUAUUCACGAGAAAUGUUAAGUGGUUGAAUUUAUUCACGGUUUGGGUUAGGCGGGAGCAAGGUUUGUAAAGAAAAUGUCAAAUCUGAUUUGACAUGGGUUAACAUGUAAGAUUAAGGAUUUGAGCAUGACUAGGUUAAAUAUUAAGGAUUUGCAUGACUAAGUUAGUAUAAGGGAUCUAUAAAAUAGGAGAAUUUAGGUAACUAAGGAGGGGAUGACGAGAGUUUUGUUGAAAUGCUAAAGUGUUGUUGGUUUAGCCACGAAAAGAUGGUUGUGAGAAGGACUUCUUUAGUAAAUUUUGGUGAGUGCUUUUCAGUCAAAAGAAUUUAUGUUAAGAAACUUUAUUACGAUUUCUCUUUACUGAUUGAAAGAAGAAUUCAGAUGAGAAUGUUUCAGAAAGAUUUCUAUGAAAAGUUAUGUUCAAGCAUUAUUAUAAUGUUAAAGCUUGAUUUGAUGACUAUGAUUUCAAUAUUAUGUUUCUUUGAGAUGAUGCUAACUUUUGUGUGCACAUAAAGAGUGAAGGCACUAUGGAGUGUACGAACUACAUGGUAAUAAGAAGCUGACUUAUGCAUUGAAAUGAGCGUAUAAAGCUUAGCGGAUGACAACAAAGACGAAUUUGUAUGUUCUCAGAUGUUGAUACAGUAGUCUAAACGCGAGGUAAUGACACCAGCGUAGAGAAUGAUUCGGGAUCCUUGACAAAUGAAAUGAUUUUUUAAGCAUAAAGAAAGGUUUAUUCGAAAUGAAAUAAUUUUUCGGUAUAUUUAAAUGAUUUGAUAUUAUUUUACAAAAUGAUUAUGAAAAGGUAUUGUGAAAGGUUUUCAUAAAACCUUAAAGGAUUUAAAAAAAAAGUGGACCAUUCAACUUAAUUCCCAUCCACUAUCCUCUUGUCCAACAUGAAACUUUAUCUUAGUAAAACUUCUUGAUCCACUAUUUUACAAAAAUAUUCAAAACAAUACCAUACUACACCAAAUGUGAUAUUUUGGUAACACUAUAAAAUGGUCAGAAAUACCAUUUUCCUGACUUUUUUUUCAUCGACCAUUAAAGAAAAAGUAUAGAUGAUGUUUCAAAAACUUCCAAACCAUUGUGUUAGUUAUCGUUUUAGAUGAGGGUUGGGGUAGAGCAUCAAUACUAAAGGUUGUUAAGGAUUAAGAACUAAGACUUGAAAACAAAACCGCCUGCCUGGUUGACAACAACACCAUCCCACUAGAGUGCACAAUGAUUAUUAUUGCAUUAAGAAGAAGAUGGCAGUUAACCUUAGCGCCAUAAUCAGAACCUCAAUCCUCCCUUUGAUGAAAGCACCUAAAGGUGUCAUGCCUUUCCCCUCUACCACAUUGAAGCUCUUUGUCUAACACUACAAGAAAUGAGGGCUCUCUCGAUGCAUAAAAUCAUUGGGAGAUAUAUAAAAAGCAUCAGAAAAGGCUUUUCUGACAUACUAAUAUACGUUGGAACACAAGUCAGGAAAAAAUGUAUCGGGAGAGGAACUCCCGAUGCACAAUGUUGUGCGUCGAGAGUUUCUAGACAUCUUCUGACGUUGUAUGAACGUCGAAGAUGUUGUCAAUAUAGCAUCGAGAGAUGUCUAGGAACCAUGCGUCGGGAGAUCCUCUAUUUUUUAUUAAAAAAAAUAACUUCAAUUAAUUCCUAAAUUCAAAUUGAAAACUCUAAAUUCAAACUCAACUUCAACACUUCAACCUCAACUUCAACACUUCAAAUUCAAAUUUCUAAAACCUACAACUAAUUCAAAAUUCUAACAACACUUGAAAUUAAAUUUCAACACUAAAACUUACAACUAAUUCAAAAUCUAAAUACUAAAACUAAUUUGAAAUCUAAAAUCUAACACCUAAAACAAAUUUGAAAUCUAAAUACUAAAACUAAUUAACUAAAACAAAACAAUAACUAACUAAACCACUUACCGAUGGCGGCGACGACAGGACGACAACAGGGACGACAAUGGAGAUGACAAUGCCCUCUUCUUCUUUAUCUUCCUCUCGGUCUCCCUCUCCCUCUCUCAUUUUUUUCUCUUUAUGUUUCAUUUAUAUAAAGAAUGGAGUUAAAAAAGGCAGAGAACUCCUGACGCACAACGAAAACGAAUUGGUUCCACAAACCAAUCUCAUCACAGAGGUACUCUUUGCAAUUUAAGCUCUAUUUGCAAUGGACAGUCUUCAAAGUUUUUUUUAACGAUGUUUCCAAUGCUUUCCUUUCUCUCUCAUGUUUAAUAAAACAAAUUUCUCUUAAAACCUGUAGGGAGGCUACAUCGUAUCGAAUUUCAUACAACUGACGUGUUCAUCGAGUUACAACAAGUGCCGCACAAUAGUCUGUUCCAUUUUGAAAAGUUGUGAGUGUGACACGCUCACAUGAGGUUAGAACGAGACAUGGCAAGGCAAGCCCUACGCGCGCCUGCAACUUCUGCCACAAUAUUUUGUAAGCAAGCUGAUGUCUUUAGGCUGUUUUUGUGGUUUUUGGAAAUUUUAAGCAAAGUUUUGAUAUUUUUAUGAUCAACGGGAAUUAAAUGGAAUUAUUUCCCAUUAUUUUUCAUUAUUUUAGAUUUGAAGGAGAUCGACCAAGUUUAUAAGCCAAGGGUCCAAGCUACUCUCUAUAAGUGACAAAAAUGAGUUUAAAGUUGAUUUCUAUACAUGAAUUUACUAUCAAAUGUUUCAAGCAUGCUUUGAUGUUUGAAUAUUUGAGGAUACUGACUAUAAAGUAUUUCCAAAGCAUGAAUUUAGAAACAUUUUGGUAAACAUGUUUUUAUUCAUGAAUUUACUAAUGAAAAUUAUAAGCAAUCAUGAUUGUGCUAAGUUUUCAGAAUGUUUAAGCUUGAAAAUAAUAUUAGCAUGUUUUAGUCUAUACCUAAAAUAUUCUAAGAUAUAUAGCAACCCUUCGCGGAGAGAUUUUCUUGUGCAUAGAGGUCAUUUGAUUUGGAUAUUCAGUAAAUACCUAGCUUUCCAUCAUUGGUAUUAGAUAAGAGAUGAAGACUUCUAAAGAUGCUUAGUUUCCCAUCUCAGGGACGAGAGCUUGUACGAAUGCCUAGUUUUCCAUCUCAUUGUAGUUAUAACGAGAUAGGGCACAAUUGAUGCCUAGAGUUUCAUCUCGUAAGUAUCGUAUCACGGGAUAGGGCUUCUAUGCCUAGUUUAUUGUUUUUCGUCUCGACGAUUAUAGGUAUAACAGAGAUUUGGUUUGAGGUGCUUCUUAAGUCUUUAAUAUUUAUGUUUGUUUUGAUCCUAGGAAUUGAGCAUGUAAUGUAAAAAGUCUAUGCACAAGGGGUCAUAUGGCCAUCUCCGUGUUUCUUUAAUUAUCAAAUUUGUUCAAGUUUUUAAUUGUCUCUAGAUCAAAAUCUGGAGUUAUUUUUUGUGAUUUGGUGUACAAAUACAUACAUCCAUGUUUCUAAUUAUGAUUAGAUUGUUUUCUGCUCGCAACAUUUUAUUGUUUAGCUUGUCUUUGAUCUUGAACUUACUAUUAUGUUGAUUUAAAUUCCAUUUUAGCCUUAGAACUUUCAAAACAUCCAUUUUAGUCAUCGAGCUUCCAAAACGUAGCCAACUAAGUUUUAGUAUUUUGUAAAUUAUUUUAUCAAUUAAUAUUCAUUUAUCCAAUACUCAUCGGUCAUUUCUGCUAUAUGUGAUUGGAAUAUAUCUCAUAGGAAGCAUUUUGAAAGUUGGGAAAAGAUGGAAAAUUUUAGGGACUAGAACAAGAAUUUGUUUAAUAUUUUUUGAUAGGGUGAAUUCUUGCAAUUUCCUUGUCGUAUAUACAUAAUUUUUUCUCUCAUUUGGCAAAUUCAUUAUGCUUGAAAAUUUAGGUGAUUCAUGAGCUAGAUAAAGUAAACAACGUAUGGAAGAUGAUCUUUGUGGCUUGUGAGGAAGACGUGGAGGAAGCCUUGGUGGCCGUAGAAAAAGGGAUAUGGACUUUCAACGUUGAAUGGUUAAUGGCAUGUAUAAUGAGACAAGAAGUAGACUUGGAGGCCCUUAAUUUGCUGAGUCCCUAUGAGAAACAAGGUCACCCUAACUUUCAGUUUUGAACAAGCAGCAGCCAGCCAUUUCGUCCUUGUGUAAAUCCACUCUUUUCUCAACUCACUCUAAUUUGGUACAUAAACAAACUCUGAUCGCUCCAUCUCUAUAUUCAUCAGUACAUAAAAGACGAUAAGUUUAUUCAUGGAGAAAGUUGGAUGUAAGUAUGUUUUAGGAAUGGUCCUUCAUUUAGUAACUUUGGGAAUUGUAAAAAUGAGGUAAUGAAGUUCUAUCAAGUUGAAUGUUCUUGUUUAUGUUAGAUGAGACUGAUUCUUGGAUACCAGAAUUAACUUGAAGUACGUGUUUGAGUUCCAUUGGAGUGAUUAGAGAAAAGAUGUUCCUUUAAAAACGGUAAUUUUUUUAUGUAGACUUUCUUUUUAUUAAAAUUGCUUAAAAUACAAUUUGAGAGUAUUUCAAUAGCUUUCAAAGAGUUGUCAAACACUUGUAGUUUUUCUAAAAUAACAUAUUUUCAAAAUUAAUUACUGUAAUAGUUAAACAAAAGAUUCUUUCCCUUCGAAAUUUUAAAGUUUGUCUAGUUACCUCUUAAACCUUUCAAUUGUUUAAUAGGUCUUUCAAUUUUAUGUUUUAAGUGUCAUAAAUUUUGAUUUUUUUUUAUUUGUUAGAUAUAAAUCUGAAGAAAUGAAUAAAGUAGAUUUGUAAGUUUAAAAUAGUUUAAAAGUUGAGAAAUUAAAUUUGUAGUUUAAAAGUUGGAGUAAAUAGUUUGUGUUAAGUCGGGUUGUGAUAUUUUAUUUAUUUAUUUUAAUAAUAGAAGAGAGGGAGACGAAAACUGCAGACUGAAGGGAGAAGAAGCGGUGGCUGACUUUGUAUAUUUCUCCUUUCUUUUCAAUUUGAGAAAAUUUCUUUGCAAUUCACUUUGAAAAGGAAAUGAAUAUUUCUCCCUCAGACUUAUCUCUCUCUUCUUUUCAAUUUAUUUUCAAUUUUUCUGUGUGCUUCUCACAGUGUAUGCAUAAUCUCUCUUUCAUUUUGAUAUUCAUCUCCAUUUCAAAUAUCUCCCACACAAAGAACAAAGAAAUGAGUAAAGUAACUGAGAGAGCAUUUUGUUUUUCCCUUCAUAUGGUUGGUUACUUUUUGUCAAUUAAAUGAAAAGUGAAGAAUAAGAUAAGAUUUUCUUUACCCAUUUGCCAUCAUCAUCAAAGCUAUUUACCUCAUUUUUGUUCACACACACACAACUUCAUUUUGUUGGAUUACACUCAUUUGAGAAAAUAGCAAAAUUUUAUUAGAAGAAUAGCAAACACGAGCAUUUCAUGUGUUUUGAAUUUUCAUUAACCCUAAAAUCUCCUCGCCUGCUUUUUAGUUAAACUGUAACUAAUUUUGAAAUAUGCAAAAUUUUAGCAUAAAUAUUGAUUUUCUCCUACAUUAUCUUAACACACUUUUUUUCCUCCAAAUAUUGGAUUUAUAUCAAAUCUUUAUUUUCAAAUUUUACUUUAUCCAAAUUUUCAUUUUUCAAAAUUUCAUCGUUAUUCUACUUUUAUUUUUGUAUUUCAUAUAUAUAUAUAUAUUUAUAAUAUUUAAUCUUAUUUUUUCUCUUUUCCUAUUCAUCUUCUUCCUUUCUCUUCCUCUUCAACCUACGGCCACACCACCGUCUCUUUUCUUCCUUCUCUUUUCAUUCUCCAAUCAACUUCACCACCGUCUUCCACCUACAUCGAACGUCAAGCAAAUUUUGUCGUAUCGUCGCAUCACCGUUAGCCCGAGUCACUCCGGUUCCGUCACGCCAUGUAUGUUUAGAUUUGAAUUGUUUGGUUAUUUGUUGCACCGAUCCGUCUCCGUUAGAAUUUGAUUCUCCACAAUUUGGGUAAGUUAUGGAAUUUACAUAUAGAGUGAAUUGAAUGGAUUAAAUUGUUUGUGGAAGUGAUUGAUUUCUCUUCAAUUAUGUUUAGGUCGGUUCGUUGCACUUUAGUUUGAAAAAGAAGCUUAAGUAAGGUUAUAAGCUAAGGGAUUCUCUACUACUGGACUCACCUAUAGUUUUGAAUUGUGCUGUCUGUAUAGUUACCUCGAUUGAGUAAAGAUGUCGAAACGAUAUAUAUACGUAUGAAUGUAGACUUGAUGUUGAAUGCAUAUUGUGAUUGUCUGGGAAUAUAUAUAUAUAUAAAUAUGUAUGGAUGUAGACAGGACGACAAUUGUAGAUUGUGUUUGUAUGGAAUGUGGAUGUGUGAACUUGUGAUUGUCGUUUAGAUUGGGUGUAUGUUAUACUAAAGUAUGGUUGUGUACUGGUGAAUUGAGGGGUGUUAUGACUAUAUAGUUUGAUUGACUGAUGUAUUGAUAUGUUACUGGCGGACAUUGGGCUAAAGUGAGAUAAGUUGACUAUUAGGGUGUUCAGUGAAAGGAUUAUAUGUUGAAGUAGUUGGUUACUAUGAAUGAGUUUUAAGAUGUUUAGAAUGGAUUGAGGGGAAAAUUGUUAGAUUUCUAUUGGGUAGUUACCUUGCAGGUGUCCUACAGGAUCACCACCUGAUAUGUGCAUCCUUCGAUAGCACUAGACUGAUAUGUGCAUCCUUCGGGAGCAUUAGACUGAUAUGUGUUUCUGCGGAACACUAGACUGAUUUAUGCGUCCUUUGAGGCGUUAGACUGAUUAUGUGUAUCCUACGGAUCACAAGACUGUGACUGUGCAGGGUACCCCAAUAGGAAGUUAACAGUUUCUUUUUCCCCUAACGGGACGAAUAACGGGUCUCUUAUUGGGUAUGUUUAUACUCAUCCUUUCAUGUUUAACUAUUUUAGGCAAAGGUAACAAAUGAGGUAGACUGACGAGGGACAAGAAGGAGACGUGAUUGCCAUAAGGGAAUGUCCUUCAAAUGCUUCUGCUUUAUGUUUCUUGUUUUCCUUUGUACAUGAGGUUGUUUAAAAAUUUUGUGAUGGAACUGAGUUUACGAACUGUUGUUUUGUGAAUAGUACUUUAAAGUUUGGAUAUUUGAAAUAGGGCCCGAACUUAAGUUUGUUUUCUUUGAUCGUAUGAUUUCAAGUGAAUUUUACUAUAUUUUGUGUCAAUCAAGGUCUCUUUGUCAAAAUUAAUGACUUCAACUUAGUUAGAAAAGUUGGGUCGUUACAACAAAUUUUAAGUAUUGAUGUAAGAAUUAUGUACUUCAUUAUAAAGGUCGAUAGCUUACAAAUAUUAACACGAUCGUGUACCGAUAACAAGACGAUUGUUUACACUAUUCAAUACGAUCACCAAUAUCAUAUGAUCGUGUACCCAUGUCAACACGAUAAUUUAUUUUAAUCAAUAUUAUCAUUUACCGUUCUUAAAUGUUCGUUUAUCACGGUUAAUAGGAUCGUUUAAUGUAUAUUAUUUCAUUGCACGAUCGUUUACUUAUUCUUGCAUUGUGUUUAGUAUUAUCAUUUUGUACAUUUUAUUCUUUUAUUCAGUAAUAAAUGUAUAUCUAUGUCUAUCUAUUUCUUUCUAUCACAAUUAAAUACUUAAUUUUAUUUUAUUUAUUUUUUUUACAGAUUAUAAUGUCUUUUCCUAUUGUUGUUUUUUACGGAGGUCAAUGGAAUGGAUGUAAUAUUUAUGAGAAUUACUUAGUUGCUGAAAUUUUGGUAGGUGUCCGAGUCAGCUUUAAUUCUCUAGUUGAUUUAAUAUGUGAACAGAUUCAAUUGGAUGGAUAAGUAGAAUUAUCUGUUUUACUUGAUUUUGGUAAAAGCAAGGUCCAACUGUGGUGCCAGUAAAGAAAGACAAUGAUGUGGCUUGGUAUUUAUCUUUUGCUAAAGAUGCAACUAAUAUACAUCCAUUAGUUGCUCAUGUAACUGUUGAUUUUUUUUAGAAGGUCUUCUUCUUCUUAGAGAACUACCUGUAGCUACCAUGCUUAGUUCAAUUAGAGAUGUAUUGCAAAAGUGGUUUGAUGAAAGAAGUAAAGCUACUUUUACAAUGAAGAGUUGUUUGACUUCUUGGGCUGAGAACGUGUUGCAUUUAGAAUAACAUGAAAAGUCAAGAAUUUUAUUGGUAAUUUUUUUUUUUUUUUUAAUGUUUGUAUCUCAGGUAGAUAUAAAUAGAUUGCUAUUUUUGUCCAUUCGAUAGAGAAAUAUAACAAUUUAUGUGUGCUUGUUUCAGAUAUAUAGAGAUAGAUAGCUAUCAAUGUCUAUUUGUCUCUAUUUGUGCAUGCUUUUUUUUUUAAUUUUUCUAUAUUUGUUUUAUGUAUUAGGUUGAUCCAAUUAGUAUGACUGAAUAGAAAGUAAUGGAUGAUACAAAAUGAUAAUGUGAUUUAUUUAUAUUGGUUCUAAUUUGAAAUAUUCAAAUUUACUUUGGAAAUUAGUAUAAUUAGUAUAAUAUAUAAUGAUACAUUAUAAUAUAAAGUUUAUAUUUAAUGAAACUUUAUUAUAUAAAUUUAAUUUUAGAUAAAGUUCAAAAUUAAUUUAUGAGAAAAUAUUUGAAUGAGUUCAAAUAUUAAUUUAAUGUGGAUUUGUUUCAUAUUAAAACUAUUAAUUAUGAGAUAAAGUUAUAUUUGAAUAUGAUUCAAAUUUAACUUAAGUUAAAUAUAAAAUAUUUAAUUUAGUUAUUAAUUAAUUGAAGAAUUAAUUAAUAGUUUAGUUUAAUAUUAUUUAAUUAAAUUUGAUUUAAUUAAAUUAAUAUAAAACUAUGGGUAUUGGAGAGAUAUUCAUUCAAUAAGAUUUAAAUGAAAUAUUAAUUAAAUAUGAUUUAAUUAAUUAUUAACUAAUUGAUUAAUGGUUAAUUAGUUAGUUGAUUUGAAACUUCUAUUAAUUUAAUAUUUUUUAAGUUAAUAGAAUCCUAUGAUUUUCUCCUACCCCGUCUCCUACUCAAUGAAAGAAAGAGAGUUAUAAAUAUGUAGAAGAAAAACAUCUUUUCUUAACCAAAAUAAAAUCGAUGAUUUUCUUUUCUGCAAAAUAGAUUGUAACGACCUAAUUUUUCGAAUUAAGCUGAAGUUAUUACUUUAAGACUAGAUUCGUCUUUAACCAUAAGACUUUAUAAUUUAAAAAAUAUAUUUUUUAACAACAUUAAAGAGUUUUUAUUCGGCUCUAUUUCAAAUAAAAUUUUGAAAGUGUAAAAGUAUCGAUAAUAAAGAAAGUUCAAGAACAUAAAAGUCGUUCAAUCAUGAAACCCAAAACAGUCUCAAUUACUAAAGAAAACCAAAAAAAAAAAAAAUAUAAAGUAAAAGCAAUUUGAAGGACAUUUCCCUAUGGCAGUUUCGCGGAAAAAGAUUAAACAUAAAAGGGUGAGUAUAAACAUACCCAGUAAGGGACCCACUACUGAUCCUGUUUAGAAGAAAAAUAAAAUUGUUAACUUCCUAUUGGAGGUGCCCUGCACUUUAAAAGUCUUGUGAUCAUGUAGGAAUACACAUAAGCAGUCCAAUGCCCUAAAGGACACAAAUACUAGUCUAGUGCUCUGCAGAAAGCACAUGUCAGUCUAGUGCUCUCGAAGAAUGCACAUGUCAGUCUAUUGCUCUCGAAGAAUGCACAUGUCAUUCUAGUGCUCUCGAAGAAUGCACAACAGGUGGUGAUCCUGUAGGACACCUGCAAGGCACACUACCCAAUCGACAAAGCUAACAAUUUUCCCUUAGUCCAUUAUAAACAUUUAAUCAAUCCAUUCCUAGUAUAGUCAAACUACUCCAUCAUAUCAUCAAUCCAACUUAACACACUUACGUUCAAUCUAUUCAAUCUAUCACAAAAUCAGUUGAUACUAUAACAACACACCAGACAGUCAAGAUAUAUAUAUAUAUACAUAACACCUUUCUCAGUUUACAAAUACAUUAUCCAUCGUAUCUACUUCUAUACCAGUAAGUUUACAAACACUAACUGUUGAGUUUCUACAGUAGAUUCUUGAAGAUGUGACUCUUGAACAGAUGGAUUCUCAUGGAUGAUCACAUGUUUGUUAUUUUGAUGGUCAUCAUUCUUGUCUAGAUUGUGAUGACUAGAAUCAUCACGAAGAUCAUCAUACAUGUUGUUAAUAUCAUCAAACAAUUGAUUCUGAUUCUAGUAUAGAAAGAAAAAAGGAUAAUAAAAAAAUAGUUACAAAAUGAUCGUGUAUCCUUAAGCAAACAAUCGUGUAGAAUAUCUAAACGGUUGUUUUACCAAGGGUGAUCGAUAUUUUAGAUGGGAUAUGCGAUCGUUCAUAUGUGAUAUGUGAUCGUGUAAAGAUAUAUCAAACCUUUGUUCUGUCAGAAGUCGUGCUAAGAAGAGUUGAAAGCUUGUAAUAAGAUCCAUCAAAACUGAAAGAUUUUACAUCAACACGUUCCUGACACAGUAAUGCAGUAUCAAUGAGCAUCAAAUUACGUGAGAUACGUAUUAGAAAAUAUCUAACUGCUCAGUUAAUUUUUUAUGGACAUCAAAUCACCUUUUUUCAAGCUUAAGGAAGGAAAUGUCGACACUAUAUAUGUCAGAGUUGUGCAUUGCAAUGGAAGUGCCAACACGAGGUGAUACAUGUGUGUCUGGGAUGUAAAUGCCACUCCCCGACUAGGACCAACAUAGACUUAGGGAGAAAGCAUGCUAGGAAUUGGAGUUGUGUCCUCAAUUUCUUCAAGGGACUUGAGCAUUUCUUCUUACACUAGAAUGUCUCCUGUUCAGAGAGUUUAUAGGAUUUCUCAAGGCCAUUUUUGCAUACUUAACAGCUCUUGACAACGGUAGAGAGUCUAACUCUACACUUUCAAGGGGUUCCAACUCCACCACUCGCUGAGCCAAAGAUAGAGACGAAUCAUUAAUGAUCCAGUAAGCAACAUGAAACCUUGUAAUUUUGGGGUUAACGGUAGUCCCUCCCAUUACUAGCUCAACACUUAAACGGAGUCUCCUCUAUAAAAUAUAAAAUAAUACAGACACAAAUAGUGAAUGAAAUCUUGUGACGUAACAAACACAAAUUUUAGGUAUACUGCAAUUUGACUAAAUAUUGAACAAGAAAACCCAAGGGAAUACACAAAAAUCCAACGUUUUUAGGGGUCAAUUUGGAAAAUGGCAAAACUACUUUUUCUUUUCAAUUUUAGCAAACAACAUUUUUUGCGCGUGCAUGGUAUUUUAUAAAAUACCAAAAUAUUCAACUUCUCCAACUAUAAUUAUUUUGUUUUUACGUUAUAAUUAAUUUAUGUUAUGUAUUUAUCAACUUUUAAUUAAUUUUUACUUGAAAUAGAUACAUUAACUCAUAUCAUAACUUUUCUCUUAAAAUCUCAGGACUCAAUUAAUUAAUUCAAUAUUUUAAUAACAUUAUUCAAUCUUAUUAAUUUCAAAAUAAUCUAAUUGAAUUUGAAUUUCAAAAUAACCAAAUUGAAUUUCAAAAUUACAAAAUUAUUAUUUUCUAGAAUUUGAGAAUCUCAACGAUAGAUUUUAUAUUAAAAUAAACUUAUCUCAAAAUAAUUUUAAUGACUUGAAUAUCAAGAUAAUUAAAUUAUUAUUUUAAAAAUUGGAAGAAAAGCACAAAAAGCGCACACGCCCACUCACGUACACACGCACGCGCGCGUAUACGCACACACACGCACACGCACACGCACAAAAGCGCACACGUGGACACUCACACCCACGCACACGUAGACAUACACACCCACGCACACGUGGACACGCGCAUACGCACACACGUACGCACUCACGCACACGCACGCACACACGCACAUAUGCACAAAGAUGUAUAAAUGAAUUAAAAUUAAAAAAUAACUACAAUAAUUUGACUUACUAACGUUAAUUAAAUUAUAAUUUCUAUCAAUAUUGGUUUAAAAGUGUCAUUAAUGUAAUUAUUUCAAUAUAAUGCACUCUUAUCCAAUUUUACGAACAAAAAACAAGUCGAAUAUGUACCAUUAGAUGACACUCUUUGUCAUAAGAGAUAUAGCAACGUUUUUAUGGGUCAUUUUGAAAAAUGGCAAAACUACUUUUUCUUUUAAAUUUUAGCAAAUAGAAUUUUUUACACGUGUCCAUGAUAUUUUAUAAAAUACCAAAAUAUUCACCUUCUCAAACAGUAAUUAUUUCGUUUCUACGUUGUAAUUAAUUUAUGUUAUGCAUUUAUUAGCUUUUAAUUAUUUUUUACCUGAAAAAGAUACAUCCUUUUUCUUAAUAUCUCGGGACUCAACUAAUUGAUUCAAGAUUUUAAUUUUAUUCAAUCUUACUAAUUUCAAAAUAACCUAAUUAAAUUUCAAUUUCAAAAUAACAAAAUUAUUAUUUUUCGAAAUUUGAGAAUCUCAACGAUAGAUUUUGUAUCAAAAAUAACUUUAAUUGAAUUUCAAAAUUAAAAAAUAUUAACUUGUUCGCACACAAGCACACGCGCACACGUGCACAACGCACGCACACACACGCACACACACCCAUCCACACACGCACACGCACACGCACAUAUGCACACACGCACAAAGAUGUGUAAAUUAAUUAAAGUUAAAAACAAAUACAUUCAUUAUGUUCAGAAAGAGUUUUAAACCAUGUUCAUUUGACUUAAUAACAUUGAUUAAAUUAUAAUUUCUAUCAAUAUUGGCUUAAAAGUGUCAUUCGUGUAAUUAUUUCAAUAUAAUGCAGUCUUAUCCAAUUUUACGAACAAAAAACAAGUCAAAUAUGUACCAGUAGAUGACACUCUUUGUCAUAAGAGAUAUAGCAACGUUUUUAUGGGUCAUUUUGAAAAAUGGCAAAACUACUUUUUCUUUUAAAUUUUAGCAAAUAGAAUUUUUUACACGUGUCCAUGAUAUUUUAUAAAAUACCAAAAUAUAAACCUUCUCAAACAGUAAUUAUUUCGUUUCUACGUUGUAAUUAAUUUAUGUUAUGCAUUUAUUAGCUUUUAAUUAUUUUUUACCUGAAAAAGAUACAUCAACCCAUAUCAUAACUUUUUUCUUAAUAUCUCGGGACUCAACUAAUUGAUUCAAGAUUUUAAUUUUAUUCAAUCUUACUAAUUUCAAAAUAACCUAAUUAAAUUUCAAUUUCAAAAUAACAAAAUUGUUAUUUUUCAAAAUUUGAGAAUCUCAACGAUAGAUUUUGUAUCAAAAACAAUUUUAAUUGAAUUUCAAAAUUAAAAAAUAUUAACUUGUUCGCACACAAGCACACGCGCACACGUGCACAACGCACGCACACGCACGCACACACACUCAUCCACACACGCACACGCACACGCACAUAUGCACACACGCACAAAGAUGUGUAAAUUAAUUAAAGUUAAAAAAACAAAUACAUUAAUUAUGUUCAGAAAGAGUUUUAAACCAUGUUCAUUUGACUUAAUAACAUUGAUUAAAUUAUAAUUUCUAUCAAUAUUGGCUUAAAAGUGUCAUUCGUGUAAUUAUUUCAAUAUAAUGCGGUCUUAUCCAAUUUUACCAACAAAAAACAAAUCGAAUAUGGAUCAGUAGAUCUACACUCUUUGUCAUAAGAGACAUAACAACGUUUUUAGGGUCAUUUUGAAAAAUGACAAAACUACUUUUUCCUUUGAAUUUUAGCAACUAGCAUUUUUUGCACGUGCAUGGUAUUUUAUAAAAUACCAAAAUAUCAACAUUCUUCAACUGUAAUUAUUUCGUCUCUACAUUGUAAUUAAUUUAUGUUAUGCAUUUCUCAGCUUUUAAUUAUCUUUUACUUGAAAUAGAUACAUCAACUCAUAUCAUAAUAUUUUUCUUAAUAUCUCGAGACUCAACUAAUUAAUUCAACAUAUUAAUAAUUUUAUUCAAUCAUACUAAUUUCAAAAUAACCUAAUUGAAUUUGAAUUUCAAAAUAACAAAAUUGAAUUUCAAAAUAACAAAAUUGAAUUUCAAAAUAACAAAAUUGAAUUUCAAAAUAACAAAAUUAUUAUUUUUCGGAAUUUGAGAGUCUCAACGAUAGAUUUUGUAUUAAAAUAACCUUAAUUGAAUUUCAAAAUUAAAAAAUAUCAACCUGUUCACUAUCUUUAUCUCAAAAUAACAUUAAUGCCUUAAAUAUCAAGAUAAUUAAAUUAUUAUUUUAAAAUUGGAAGAAACUCAACAUUAAAAAUAUUAACUUGUCGGACACAAGCAUAGAAGCACUGCGCACACACGUACACAUGCACACUUACACACACGCGCGCACACGCACACCUACACACAGACACCCACAGACGCACGAACCCACGCACACACACAUGCACACGCGCACGCAUGCACACACACACCUAUCCACACGCACACAAGCACACACACAUGCACAAACGCACACACGUGUACGCACAAACCUUAUCUCAAAAUAGUUCCUAUUUUUGCUGACAGUUUAUUUUUUGCCAUCGAUAGAGGAUCUUCCAAUAGACCUACGUGACGGUGUGUGUUGACAGCUUAAUUUUGUUGGCAAAAGAAAAGUUGAUUAGUUUUUGAAGAUUUACUGACGAUAUUUGUCAUCGACAAAGGGUAAAUUUCUUGUAGUGCAUGUACAUCAAACAUAUCAAAUUUGUUAAGUGUACCAAUGAAGUAUAACAAGUUUAUUAGUGGUGUAUCACGUGUAUCAAACUUAUUAGUGAAGUCUUUAAGUGUAUCAAACUAAUCAAGUGUAUCAAGGCCUCAGGGGUAUCAAGUGUAUCAAGAAGAAUCAAGUGUAACGAGAAGUAUUAUGUGGAACGAGAAGUAUUAUAUGUAUGAAGAUGUUUCAAGUGUGUAUCAAAAAGUAUCGAGUGUAUCAAUGAGUACCGAGUGCAUGAAUUGUAUCUAUCAAAUGUAUCAAGUGUAUCAGUAAGAAGUAUCAAGUGUAUCAAGGGUAUUAGGUGUAUCAGACGUGUAUAAGGUGUAUCAAAUAUACAUCAAUAACGAGGGCAUUUGUGACAUUUUACCUCUUGAUGUGUGAGUUGGUCUUUGUUUUUGUCAUUUUCUCAAAUAAUAAAGUAUGUGUUCUAUGGACUUAAUUAUUAUAACUUAUUUUGCCAUUUUCGCAAGUGUCCCUUAAUUGUAAUACAUGUAUAUGUGACAUAAUCUAAUCAAACUAACUCAUAAAUGGACUUAAUGUAUCAAGAGGUAUUAGGUGUAUCAGACGUGUAUAAGGUGUAUCAAAUGUACAUCAAUAACGAGGGCAUUUGUGACAUUUUACCUCUUGAUGUGUGAGUUGGUCUUUGUUUUUGUCACUUUCUCAAAUAAUAAGGUAUGUGUUCUAUGGACUUAAAUAUUAUAACUUAUUUUGCCAUUUUUGCAAGUGUCCCUUAAUUGUAAUACAUGUAUAUGUGACAUAAUAUAAUCAAACUAACUCAUAAAUGGACUUAAUCUAUCUCAUGGACCACGAAUUCUUCAAUUACUUGCAAAUUUGGUGAGUUCCUUCAAAUGGUGGGCGGAGAGCUUAAUUUUGAGAGAGAGGAAAAGUCGUGAAGAGUAUUUGCGAGAGAGGGGGGAACGUCGCCAGAGAGCAUUUGCGAGAGAGCUAAAGACAGCGACGAUGUGGGAUGAAGUAAGGUUUUUUUCGGUCAUUGUUCACAAGUGGGAUGAAAGCUUCGAAUUAUUUGUUUUAAAUCAAAAAACGUAUGAUUGAAGGAAAACAUUGAUUUUUAUUAGGGUAAUUUUUUAAUGACACAUAAUUUAUGCCAUUAUUUACAAUGCCAAAAUUUUGUCAAGAAAACUCAAUUUGUGUCACAAAAAAAUUUGUAUUUUUAUUUUUUUAACGACACAUUUUAUUCCCUCAUAUCCCUUUUUCUUGAUUUCAAGUGUCAUUAAAACUUAUAUUUCUAAAUAAAUUUAUUCGACGAAAGUGGCUAGAUUGGUGGGUUUGACGGCGAAGGCUUGUUGUGGGAGCAACGACAACAGUGGUUGGAGUGUGGAAUCGACGACGGCAAGUGGCAAAAAAUUGGGGGCAAGGGUUCUUCAUAACGACUCGAUAGCCCACUUCGAAUUUUUUUGAAAUUUGAGGUUUUUUCAUUUGAAAAUUUUUUUAAUGACAAAAAAAUUGACGUUAAUUAAUGACGCAAAAUUUGUGUUGAAAUAAAUUAAAUUGUGUCAAUAUGAUUGUUUUAAGAAAUAAUCCAUAUUUAUAUUUUCAACAACACAAUGUACCUCAUCCCACCUCUUUUUUCUUUUAUUUUCAACGACACAAUGUCUUGAUUAAAAUCCAUUUUUCUAGUAGUGACUGAAAAAAAAACUGGACAGAAUCAUAAUAUCUUUGAUAAUUAAAUCACCAGUUGGUUUGAACAUAUAUAAUCUUGGAUCUAUUCUAUUAUGAUAUGACCAUGGUACAUCAUGAACAUACAUUGACUAAAAAACUUAAAUUGAUGAGUGAAUGUAAUAAAUUUAAUAUUAAUUAUAUGAUCAAUACUUUACACAUGUAUAUUGGUAUAUCAGUCAAUAACAGUAGUAAGACAAAUUAUAAAAUAUAAGGGAUAAAAGUCCUACACAUGCAUGUAUGGUAUACUCUCUUGAUAGCAAAAUGCAUUUAUGUCAACUCAUGUUUGAAUGCAUUUAUGUAGGAAAUUCAAUAAAAUAAUUAAGAAACCUUGCAAUAUGUGAGAGAUAUACGAACUUCAAACAAAUUUUACAAGUUUCAGCAAAAAUUUUCAAACAACUUUUAAAGUUUAAGCAAAAAGUAACCGUAGGUAGGAAGGGGAGCAAAAGUGGGGUCUCGAAUUAAUUCUGAAAAAUUAGUAGGCUUUCAAAAUUUAGGUUCUAGAAGUAGAAUUAUUGCAGAAAAAUAAAUAAUUGCAUCAUUCAAAUUGAAUCAGACAUAUCAGGAUGUAUAUAUUCUCCACAACGUAUAAUGGAGUAUAAACAUAAAGUUUCUAUAUACAAAGCUAUGUAUCUCUACCCUUGACUUCUCUUUCUCUCUUUCUACCUUUUUUAUCCUUUCUUUCUUCCAUUCACUCAAUACACUUGCAAGAACCUUCAUUUUUUUGUAUUUAAAUUUUCUUGGCACCAUCCUUUUUUUUAAUUAUCAAGGCUUUGUUAUUGUGUACCAGUAUUGUGUCGUGCCUCCUUCACUUCUCAUCAUCAUUUUCAUGUCACAUCUCUACCUUGUCAAUUUUCGUUUUUCACUCAGCUUUCUUUCUUCUUUUGUCUUCACUACUUUCUUCGCUCCUUCUUCUCAAGCUCUAACUUUUGCUAUUAUCAACCAGUCUCAAAUGACCAUUGGAAAACCUAUAGCCCACUGAGAGGCAGCCAAUAUAGUAAUGUCUCUAAUGAUAAACUCCAAUGAAAUCAAAAGUUCUUCUUUAAGAUUUGGAAAAAUAUAUUAGAUAAACCCGGACGUGGUGAACGCGGUGAACGCAGACGCACGGACGGUGAACACGGCAGAAGUUAGAGAUCCUCAGAGAGAACUUGGCAUUUUCGAAUGCGGUAGAGACAAGUCUAGGGCUUCAAAGGAUUCAACCCAAUAUUUUCUUUAUAUAUAUAUAUAUAUAAUAUAUAUUAUAUAUAUAUAAAUAUAUUUAAUAACACUUGACGUUUUCAAAAACGUCAAGAAAAACGAUCUUACUUAACGUCUAAAAAAACAUCAAGAAAUUUAAAAAAUAACUCUCUCUGGCUUUUUAUAAAAAUUCUUGACGUUUUAAAACAUAAAGAAUUUUUAAGAUAUUUCUUGACGUUUUUAAAAUGUCAAGUAAAAGUACAUAUUACUUGACGUUUGAAAAUUUUGAAGAAUAUUGAAUAUAUAAACAUUCUUGACGUUUAAAAAUGUCAAAAUUUUUAUAGAUAUUUCUUGACGUUUUUAAAACGCCAAGAAAAAAUACAUAUUAGUUGAUGUUUAAUAAACGUCAAGAAAUCUGAAAAUUGACCUACCCGCCUUUUCGUAAAAAUUCUUGACGUUUUAUCUUUGGAACUACUCCUUUCUUGACGUUUUUUUUGAAAAAAAUGUCAAGAAAGAAAAACAACAAACGUCAAGAAAGGCCUUUUUUGUAGUAAUGACAUACAUAAAUAUAUAUAUAUACAUAUAUAUAUAUAUAUAAUGAAUUAAAAUGGUUUUGUUGCUUUACUGUUUUACUCUAUAAAGGAAGAGCAUUAUAAAUAUAUUAUUGAGGAAACAUUUUUUGAAAUGACUGGUUUUGGAAGUGUCAUUAGAUUUUUAGUUAGUUAAGCACAUUUUCCUCCCAAAUAGUAGUCGAAAUACAACUUUUUUUAAGAAGAAGAAACCGAAUCAUUCAAACUAAGAUAAUCCUAGGAUAAGAGUCAUUAUCUAUUAACAUAGAGCUAAAGUUACAAGGUUGAAGGCUAGAGGGAAGCCCGAAACAACCUAAUCUAACAAAGCUUAAAGUUAAGAGUUGGUAGUAACAUCAUAUUGGUUACAAGAUGAAUGACGCCUAGACCAAACUCCGAUCAAGUUACAUAUGUCUUCCCACAAGUAAACAAUAAACCUUGAUUUAUCCUUAAAAAUUCUAUUGUUUCUUUCUAUCCAAACAGUCCAAAGUAAGCCAGUUAUGGAGGGAGGAAUACACAUUAGAAAGCUCAGUUAUGGAUGGAGGAAUACACAACUUUUUCUCAUGGUCAUUUUCCUCGUGGGCAUUAUCUUCAUGUUUCUUCUUAUUCCGACUAAAAUACAAGCACAAAUUAUUCUUCGCCUUCGUAUAGGUUUGUUUGAAGAAGAUUAAAAAAGUCCUUAAUUUAUCUCGACACUUCCAAAACCAGAAUAUAAUACCCGUGCUACAUAAAUCCCUCUUUCCAAAUAGUCAAACAUGAACUAUCCAUGAAUAUCUUGAAUAAACAAGAGAAACCCUAACUAAACCCAAAUAGAAAAUACGCUGCAAUCUAAAAUAUACUUAAAGAAACAAAAAGAAGUUUUAAUGAUGUGGGUUUUUUACUGAUCUUCUUCAACAACAAAAUAACUCAACGCCACAGUUCAAUUUUUCCUUCCACGAAUUGGUUUUUAAAGAGUUUUCACCGCGAAUUUAUCUUUUUGGUUCAACAAGUAAACAACAUGUGAAUCCCCAAAUGCAAGGUUUUAUUAAAAAAUUAAAAUAUAAUUUUUUUAAAAAAAUUAUAAUACCUAAUUUUUUUUUAUAUAUUUAUAACCUAAUUUUCUGUCAUUGCAUACUUGAGAGAAAUAUAUUUUCAAUUAGCAUAAUAACCUUUAUAUAGUAAAUUAAAUUUGUAGAAUGAGAAAAGACCUUAGAUCCAAAAAAGUUAUUUAUUUAUUAUUGGAGUGAAUUGUCUAAUUAAUGUAGUUAAUGGAUGGUUUUGUAACCAUAAAAAUAAUGAAAAUAAUUUUCUAAAAGAAUGAAUGAAAAUUUGGAAAGUUAAAAGGUUUUAGGAAUUAAAAAAAGGGUGUAACAUUAUAAAAGACUACCAAAUAUACUGUAAGAGACAUGCAUUAAAGAAGCUAAGGCAUGCAUACUACCAAAUAUACUAUAAAUAAACCAGAAUUCUUUUUAAGAAAUUAAACAACUAAUUAAAUAUAAAGAAGAAAGAUUAGAAAAUGAAUGAUCAAACAAACUAUGACUCAUUUAUUUUUGACAGGUUCGGCCAGUAUCACCUGACAAUUCAUUUUCACCAAGAGAAUAAACAUGAGUAGCCUUGGAAUCAAGUUCCUCCGAUAAAAGCCACGGAGUUGAUGGGUUAGAGACAGAACCAGAAUUUGAGUUCAACGAUCUGGAUGGAAAAUUCUGAAACUAGCAGCAACAAGAAGUUAAGAUAACGAAUUAUUUUCAAUAUAGAAAGGCUAAUUGUAAGAAGUUGUUAAUGAAGUGUCCAAAUGCAUUAUGGUAAUAUUGGGUGCAGAUUGUUUGGAAGUUUUAUCCGUGUGCUGUGAAGCACCACAGAGUUGAAGCAUAUGAAACCAGUGUUUAUCUGACAAAAAAUAAUGUCAUGAUCAUUGCCUUUCCAUUCCAUAAAUUUAUGGAUAGCAAAAGAAAGAGAACUCUCAACACAUGAAUCACCAUAAAGACACACAUGACAACAUUAUUUUGGAUGAAGUUCUAAUAUUGCAACCAUGGAGGAAAAAUCAGCAAAUCUUAAAUAGAUGUAGUAGUCCAAAUGAUAAAAGUUUGUCUCAAGAUAAUAUUUCAGUAACUGCAGAUGCAUUGUGCUGAAUCUAACUCUUGUGUUUCACGGUAAUGAACAAGGACAAUGUGUUCAAAGGUCCUGAACAAAAAGCAGAAGCAAGUCAUAAUUAUAUAAGUAGAACACGAUAUACUGCCACUGUCUAAUUUCAUUUUUCUUUGCUUGUGGCAUGAUGGGGAUAGACCCCACUGAAACAACUGGUAGCAAGCAAUUUAACAAUUUUCUUUCAACCAUAACAUACUUAUCUAGGAGCCAAUAACCCGCGAACAAAGGUUGGGCUAUCUAGUCCGUGGCAUAGUAUACAUGUAUCCUUUCUACAUUACCAACCUGCUGAAGAGAAAGAAAAGAUUAUCAAAGCACACCUUUCCUUGGUUAUUAAGGCUGUAAAAGAAUGAAAAUUACCAUAAAUCUAAACAUAGUUAAUAUUAGACCAUUGAACAACUUAUAGAUUCAAAAGGAAAGACUCAAACCACCAAUAGACUGGUUAAUCAUUUAAAAUGAUCUCCAACAACAUGAUACGCAGUAUAUCGUGCUAGAUCCAUAAUUACCAGAUGUGGACUCCUAUGGUAAUUUCAUUGAUGAUACGCAGCUAGUAGGCAAGAUUAUGAAAUGAAGACGGUAUGUGAGACGAUUGAAAAGAUCAAGAUGAUAAAAUUAUAGGGAUUUGAAUUUAUAUCUUAAGAACACCAGAGUCAAAUGCUUAAGAUGAUUAACUGUGUUAAAUUUAACUCUAUAAUAUAUAAAUUAUUAGCAAAAACAGUAGAAAUUACUUCAAAUUUGUAGAGAGAACAUAUAAAUUAUAUUCUAGAGAAAGAGCAUCUGAAUUAUAUUCUACAGAAACACGAGCCCAUAGUAUAUGUACUGAGUAGCAAUGACAGUGAAAAAGGGAAUAGUAAGUAACUAAUCUCAUAAACCCCUUUCUCACAUCUAACCAAGUUCUUUCACAACAUGCAAAAGCAUCAAAAUAUUUAAGAAAACUUCCAAUAUUGCAUUUGGAACUCAUUGAUUGACUUCAACGUUUAAGAGUCCUAAAAGACACAGCUUACUUUCUCACCUCUCACCACUAAACCUAUGGCAACAUCUUUUUAUAAGAUAUUAAGCUAAUCUUUAGAUUGUUUACCGAAUAAUCGUCUAUUGUUUUGUAAUUGAUCCCACCAAGCGCUUACGCCACCUUGAAGUUUGAGAGCAACUAAUCGAACCUUCUUGUGUUCGGGUGUAUUGGCAUAGUCGAAAAAAAUUUCUACGUUCUUGAUCCAAUCAAGAAACUUCUCCACGUCCAUUUGACCAUUGAAGGUAGGGAGAUCCACUUUCAUACGUAUUUCUUGAUCUUCUUGAAAGUAUGGUCGAAGUCCAAGCCUUUGUUGAGGUUCUUGAUGAAUGUUCAGCAAGUUGUUCAUCGGAAGAGUCAGAAUCGUUUAAGAAAUUUCCAAGUACGUUGUUUCCAUACAAUCGAUUAUUGUUGAUGUGAAUAGGUUGAUUUCUUAGUAGUUCUUGGUUUACAACAGGGUUUAUUGGUUUUUCUUGUCUUUCUUGGUUUGCUGCAAUUGGGUUUCUUGGGGGCUGAAUUGCUUCUUCUAAAGGUUGGACAUGAAAUCGGGUAAAAAGGUUUGUUAAUUCUACUAACGAUUGCUGUAUAUUCGAUUGCCCUUUUCGAAGUUCUUCAAUAGCUUGUUCUACCAACUGCAAGCGUUGGUUGAAGGAGGCUUCCGCGUCCAUGGAUAAGAGUGGUAGGAUCCAAGUUUUUUUAGGGAAGAGUGAGCUAGGAUCACGCUCUGAUACCAAUUGAUGCAGUAAUUGCAAAGCUAGAAAUCUUUAUGUAUAAUGCCUCUUUUUUUAUGUCUUAUUAAUGAAAAUGAGAAGCUUUUUUAUAGGCUGGAGAUUACAAGAGUUGUUAAACUAACUUGGGGUUGAGUUAGUUUAACUUGGAGUUGAGUUAGUUAUAACUAACUCAAGAUACAAAAUUGGUAAUUCAAAUAACUAAUCCUAAACUAUAAAAAUGGUAAUUCAAACCCCUCCUCUAGGAUAAAACUCAAGAAACAUCAAGAAGGUAGAUGUUCUACAUCAAAGUGUAGAGAACGAUUCAAAAUCCUUGGUGAAAGGAAUGAAUGUUAACUAAUGUGUGUUUAUGUGAAAUUGUUAUGUUAUGAGUAUGUUAAGGAUAAAGAAUGGUUUAUGCGAGAUAAAAUUAUUUGAUGUUGUUUAUGCGAAAUGAUGUCUAUGAAAAGGUAUUGCGAAAAGGAUUUCAUAAAACCUUAGUCUUUUAGACAUUCUUUCAAAAAUUCAUCUUCCAAGAUGAGGUGUUUAGGCCAAGUAGAGAAGAAGGUUGAAGGAUUUGCAGCGAGAUGACCAGACGUUUUGAAAAUAGUUAAGCAUUGGUUGUUUGGUCAAAGUGUUGUAAUUAUGUAUCAAACACAUGUUAUUAAUAAACAUCUUGGUAGGUAUUUAUUAUACUAAAGUCAAAGUGUUGGACUUUAGUAUUGCAUGGACAUACAAUUUUGAAUGAAAAAUCCUUAUAAAUGGGGCCUUUGAACUCAUUUGAUGGGUUGGCUAUUAUAUUUGGGCUUUCACACCAAAUGGAAUUUCUUUUUCUUAUUUACUUAAAAAAAAAAGAAAAUUUACCACGCCCAUUUUUUUCAUCUAUUUCUCUCGUCCGGUUCUUUCAUCCAACGGGUCCCACAACUCGAUUAUGAGUCUAGAGGAUACUAAGUCAAACUUAGUGGUUGUUCGAAUAAAACGCAGCUUCAAAUGUAAGUAUUCUAAAAACCUUAUUUUUUGGUUUAGUCUCGUUAACUAAGCCCAAUUAGGGUAGAAUUUCGAUUCUUUUUCUGUUGUGCAUGUCUUAGUUCUAUCAGUAACUCCUUUCAGGGUGAUAGCUCUCAUCAGCAGACUUUCCAUUGCUGGUUUCUUCCUUAGUCAUCAUUGUAUUGUUGUUUUCCACAAUAGAUAGGGUGAGUUGCAGUUUUACAUGAAAUGCACUGCUCAACCCACACUCUUUUCUCACUAGUUCCUUAUUCUCAAUCUUCAACGCAAAUUUCAUCAUCUGGGCCAACCCAAUCGGUUCCACGGUUUCCACUUCCAUUUUUAUUCAUGGGCUAAGCCCAAUCAUCAAAGUCUCCUCUAACACUACCGUUUGAAGAAAUGCUACCAGAGCUAAAUAUCGAUCAAAUCGGUUGCGGUAUUCUUCUACAUUCAUUUCUGUUUGAUUGAGAAAAAUCUUCCAACCAAAGUUCCUUCUCGAAUUGAUCGAAACUGUACAAGCAUUCGUUCUUUCAGGUCAGCCCAAUUCUUAAAAACUUCCAACUCUUCUUGUGCUUGGUACCAAUCCAAUGCCAGAUCAUCAAAACUAAUAACGCCUGUGGUUAAUUUCUCUGAAUCGGUAAGAUCAUGUAUCUUAAAGAAGCGAUAGGCUCUAAAUGUGAGACCCAUUUCUAAUUUGAGUAAUGAAGUAAAAUUGGCUAGGUAUUAAGAAUUUGGCGUUUGAAUAAAUCAACGAAAAGGAUUAAGCGAUAAAAAAAUUUAUGGUUAAGUAUACGUUAUUGCGAUUCAGUGGGUAGUUCGCGAAGGAAGUUGUGCGACCCAUUUCUAAUUUGAGUAAGGAAGUAAAAUUCGGCUAAGAAUUAAGAAGUUGGUGUUCAAAUAAAUCCAUGGAAAGAUUAAGUGAUAAGAUCUUUUACGGUUAAGUAUACUUUUUUGCGAUAAGUGGGUAGUUCGCGAAAGAAGUUGUGCGAUAAUGUAACACCCGAACUCUAAGGUAAUUAAUUUAAUCGGACCAUUCGAUAUUUUUACUCUUAAUUUUUGUUCGACGUCAUUUUGUUGUUUUGUCUUAAAAAAAAAAGUGUUGGAAAAGUCUUUCAUAAUAAUAAUAUAUUAUUAUUAUUAUUAUUAAUUAGCAUAAAAAAAAGGAAAAGAAAAAGAAAUUAAAAUAUCUUUUUCCUCUCUCCCCUCUCUCACGCGUGCGACACCCUCUCUCCAUCUUUUUCUUCUUCUCUUUCCUGUACCCUAACCCAGCCGACCAUCAUCUUCUCCCCUUCCCUUGCCGUUCAGAUCCAUGGCCUCCGCCCACCGCCGCGUGACCCUCUGCCCAGCCCCGCCGCGUGACCUCUGUCUCCGUCGAAGCCAAGUCCAGCCGUCGUCCAUUCCUUUCCUCUCUUCUUCUCCGUUCGUGAAGCCCAGUCGCCGCGUCAGAUCGUCGAUCGAUUUUGAGGCAGCGCGCACGCCUCCUUCUAGCCGCGCGUUUCCUCUUCUUCCAGCAACGUGUUUUUUCUUCUAACCGCGAUUCACAAACCGACGUACACUCUAAUCUGUUUGCACGAUGGUUUUUGUUUAGAAUCGAUUGCCGCUGCCCCUAUUUUUACUGAGAUCCGUCGAAGUAUUGUUGGUAAGAUUGAAGUUAUGAAAUUGUAGUCGUUUUCAAAACAAUUUAAGUAUGGGUUGUGAUGUUUUCAAGGUGUUCAAACGUUACGGAUGGGUUAAUUGACUAAUUUGAUAAAUUAUUCUUGAAGGUGUGAAAGGUAACCUUGGAUCACUUAAAUUCACAACCAAUUUGUGAAUUUUGAUUUCGAUUUCGUUUGCCCUUAUUUGGAUUGUUUCGUGGACGAUAGUUGAUUAAGGGAGCUUCCCUAACUUUGAGGUAAGGGACUUUCUACUGGACUCACCUAAAGUUUUUGAGUUGUGUUGGACUGUAUGGAUGAUGAUUAAGAUGUACACGUUUGGUUGCAGACUAAAUGUUUAGUGUAUGUUGUAUUUGACUGGAAACAUAUAUAUAAAUACAUUGAUGUGUGAAUUGAUGUGGAUUGCCGAAAGUAUACAUGUGAAUGACUGAAAUUAUGCUUAUGUGUACAUGAUGAUAUUAAUAGAUUGUGCUGUAUAAAGAUUUGGAUGUGAACUAGUGAAUUUGUUUCGGUUGAAUGUGGAUUAUACUGAACUGUGGUUUGCGCUGGUAAAAAUGAGGGGUGUUGUGACUUUGUUGUUUACUUGACAGAUGUAUUAAAAUGUUAUCAACGACCUUCGAACUUAAGUGAGAUAGGUUGACUGUUAGAAUGUUGAGUGAAAGAACUUUAUAUUUUGAAGUAACUGAAAGAUGUCAUAAAUUACCGUAAAGAUGGUUAGAAUGGAUUGAGGGGAAAAAUUGUUAGUUUUAUUGGGAUGUAUGCCUUGUAGGUGUCCUACGGGAUCACCAAUUUUUAUGCGACCUUCGGAGCAUUAGACUGAUAUGUGUUUCUGCAGAACACUAGACUGAAAUGUACGUCCCUCGGGGCGUUAGACUGAAAUGUGCAUCCUACGGGAUCACAAGACUGCGACUGUACAGGGUGUCCCAAUAGAAUGUUAACAAUUUAUUUUCCCCUGACGGGACCAGUAGAGGGUCUCUUACUGGGUAUUUUUAUACUCACCCUCCUUAUGUUUAAUUUUUCAGGCAAAGGUAAUAAAGGCAGCAAACCGGCGAGGGGCAGGAAGGAAGCGUGACCGCCACAGGGGACACUUUAAAAUUUUGCUUCCGCUUAGUGAUUUAUAGUAUUAUUUGUAUUCGAACGUGAGACUGUUUAGAAAAUUUUGAAGUUUUAAAGUAUUCAAAGAUUUGAAACUUUUUAGUUUUAAAUUUUCAUGUGAAUUUUAGUAAUUUAAAACUGGGGCCCAAACAAACAAAAUAAAUUUUGUUCUUUUGAGGUUUUAAAUUUUAAUUAACCAAGGUCUUUUGUCAAAAGUUAAUGACCUCGACUUAGGUAAAAAGUUGGGUCGUUACAGAUAAGAAGCGAAAAAGUCUUUGCGUAAGUUAAGAAAUGAAAGUUUUGAGUGUUAGACUAGGAGUUUUGGGUGGUCUUCGCGAGAAGAACCAAGUGUUUCGUGGAGAAGAAGUCUACGAGGAAGCCUUGGAGUUUAAGUUCGUGAUAAGAGUUUUAUGCGAGUAAAAGUUGGUUAGUUCAGGUGGAACGUUUCUUAUAAUAAAAAUAUAAUCAAGCGAUAAGGUUAUUCACGAGAAAUGUUAAGUGGUUGAAUUUAUUCACGGUUUGGGUUAGGCGGGGAGCAAGGUUUGUAAAGAAAAUGUCAAAUCUGAUUUGACAUGGGUUAACAUGUAAGAUUAAGGAUUUGAGCAUGACUAGGUUAAAUAUUAAGGAUUUGCAUGACUAAGUUAGUAUAAGGGAUCUAUAAAAUAGGAGAAUUUAGGUAACUAAGGAGGGGAUGACGAGAGUUUUGUUGAAAUGUUAAAGUGUUGUUGGUUUAGCCACGCGAAAAGAUGGUUGUGAGAAGGACUUCUUUAGUGAAGUUUGGUGAGUGCUUUUCAGUCAAAAGAAUUUAUGUUAAGAAACUUUAUUACGAUUUCUCUUUACUGAUUUGAAAGAAGAAUUCAGAUGAGAAUGUUUCAGAAAGAUUUCUACGAAAAGUUAUGUUUUCAAGCAUUAUUUAUAAUAUUAAAGCUUGAUUUGAUGACUAUGAUUUCAAUACUAUGUUUCUUUGAGAUGAUGCUAACUUUUGUGUGCACAUAAAGAGUGAAGGCCACCAUGGAGUGUACAAACUACAUGGUAAUAAGAAGCUGACUUAUGCAUUGAAAUGAGCGUAUAAAGCUUAGCGGUAUAGCAACAAAGACGAAUUUGUAUGUUCUCAGAUGUUGAUACAGUAGUCUAAACGCGAGGUAAUGAGACCAAGCGUAGAGAACGAUUCGGGAUCCUUGACAAAAUGAAAUGAUUUUUUAAGCAUAAAGAAAGGUUUAUUCGAAAUGAAAUAAUUUUUCGGUAUAUUUAAAUGAUUUGAUAUUAUUUUUACAAAAUGAUUAUGAAAAGGUAUUGUGAAAGGUUUUCAUAAAACCUUAAAGGAUUUAAAAAAAAAGUGGACCAUUCAACUUAAUUCCCAUCCACUAUCCUCUUGUCCAACAUGAAACUUUAUCUUAGUAAAACUUCUUGAUCCACUAUUUUACAAAAAUAUUCAAAACAAUACCAUACUACACCAAAUGUGAUAUUUUGGUAACACUUAAAAUGGUCAGAAAUACCAUUUUCCUGACUUUUUUUUCAUCGACCAUUAAAGAAAAAGUAUAGAUGAUGUUUCACAAAAACUUCCAAACCAUUGUGUUAGUUAUCGUUUUGGAUGAGGGUUGGGGUAGAGCAUCAAUACUCAAAGGUUGUUAAGAAUUAAGACCUAAGACUUGAAAACGAAACCGCCUGCCUGGUUGACAACAACACCAUCCCACUAGAGUGCACAAUGAUGAUUUAUUGCAUUAAGAAGAAGAUGGCAGUUAACCUUAGCGCCAUAAUCAGAACCUCAAUCCUCCCUUUGAUGAAAGCACCUAAAGGUGUCAUGCCUUUCCCCUCUACCACAUUGAAGCUCUUUGUCUAACACUACAAGAAAUGAGGACUCUCUCGAUGCAUAAAAUCAUUGGGAGAUAUAUAAAAAGCGUCAGAAAAGGCUUUUCUGACGCACUAAUAUACGUCGGAACACAAGUGAGGAAAAUGUAUCGGGAGAGGAACUCCGAUGCACAAUGUUGUGCGUUGAGGGUUUCUAGACAUCUUCCGACGUUGUAUGAACGUCGAAGAUGUUGUCAAUAUAGCAUCGAGAGAUGUCUAGGAACCAUGCGUCGGGAGAUCCUCUAUUUUUUUUUAAAAAAAAUAACUUCAUUUAAUUCCUAAAUUCAAAUUGAAAAUUUUAAAUUCAAACUCAACUUCAACACUUCAACCUCAACUUCAACACUUCAAUCUCAACUUCAACACUUCAAAUUCAAAUUUCUAAAACCUACAACUAAUUCAAAAUUCUAACAACACUUGAAAUUAAAUUUCAUUACUAAAACUUACAACUAAUUCAAAAUCUAAAUACUAAAGAAAUCUAAAAUCUAACACCUAAAACAAAUUUGAAAUCUAAAUACUAAAACUAAUUAACUAAAACAAAACAAUAACUAAACUAAACCACUUACCGAUGGCGACGACGACGGGACGACAACAGGGACGACAAUGGUGAUGACAAUGCCCUCUUCUUCUCAAUCUUCCUCUCGGUCUCCCUCUCCCUCUCUCAUUUUCUUUCUCUUUAUGUUUCCUUUAUGUAAAGAAUGGAGUUAAAAAAGACAGAGAACUCCUGACGCACGACGAAAACGUCGGGAAUAGCACCCUAUUCAUGACCUGAUUUGUUAAACGUCAGAAAUCCCUAAACAUAUUCCCACGCGAUUAAUGAUACGUCGGGAAUCCCUAAAUCUAUUCUCAACGUUGCUGCCACACGUAAGAGGAAGGCGUUACAUACAAUUAAUGAUCUGCCCUUCCUCCGACGGUUCCUAAGCUUUUAGCUUUUCUGCAAUCACCCCUUAUGCAUGUUCUCAGGCGAAUCUCAACCAAACCAUAACACUCCAUCAAAAUAAAGAAGAAGAGAGACACCUCAAAACCUUAAAUAAAGUUAAGGGAGAAGAAUGGAAUGACAGAGAAGAAGAAGAGGCUUCUCCGCUGCCACCACUACUCAAGAGGAGAAAUGUCCACGAUGACGCGUCUAACUCGUAUAAAAAGGAAAAAAGUCGAAAGCUAGACGUGGCCAUCGACCCUAAACCUCUUGCAAUCUGACCCCUAACUCUCUCAUUGCCUCCUCCAAAAUCCAAAUCCUUCAAUUCCAGUCCUCAUCCAAAAAUUGAAACUCCCCCUCAUCAAUCUUACCCAAGUCCUCUCGCAUGUCUAUUAUCCUCUCACCACCAAAUCCCCCAUCAUUAUAACAACAUCCUUCACCUCACGACCUGACCGAACAAGCCCUUACCCGAUCAAAAGGGCAUUGUUAGCGAAGAAGAAUUCCUUAGGGUUGAGGAGGAAGACCUGCAUCACAUUCCUCUCCCUCCGCACACUACUAUACGUAAUUCCAAGGAGGAAGACUUACAUCUCGCGUGUAAACACCGAUACCCAAUAAUCCUUAAUUCAUCUAAAGAACUCAAUAGGACAUUAGGGGUUGAUGUUAGGAGAAAGAUGGUUUAAGAUUGGAUAGUUUAGUUGAAGUGUUAUGGAAGAUGUGUUAAUAUUUUUAAGAUGAUAAAAGAAAAGUGUCAUCGUAACAAAGAAAGGCCUAAAGGGUGUUCGAAAAUUGGCUAAGUGUUGGCUAGGGCAUGUUGCAUACUCUAGGCGGCCAAAAGUGUCAAGCGAACCUCUAAAGAGACAUGUUGGGUGGCCAAAGGUUGAGAUGUGGUAUGGCCGAAAGGUGUCAAGACAACCUCUAUAAGACAAGGCUAUAUGACCAAGGGUAUGCGCUAGGCAAGGAAGCUAAGCAUCUAGGAAAUGUCAAGAAACUCUAAAGAAGUUAGAACGUGGAUAAGGAAUGUCAUGCAACAAAGAGGUGGGCUAUGUGGACAUAGGUCAUGCGGCCAAUGGGGCAAUUCAACCAAAUGCUAGUCAAGAUGGCAUGGUUUGUUGAAGGCAUUGAGGGAUGUUUGGGAGAUUAGGCGAGAAAAAAAAGUCUUAGGCAUUCUUGGCAGUAAGAAUUUACUAAAGAACCCUCAUAGAAAAAGGGAUAUGCGUCCAAGGAUGACUUAAGCAAUAUGAGGUAAGAUGUGCGGUAGAGUACAAGUGGACAACAUACAAGAUACCUAAGUUUUGCCAAAUAAGUGUCUUGCAUGAGUUGGAAAGUGGCAAGUAUGGGCGUAAGAGGUGAGAAAAAAAGGUUCAACCAAAGAGCAUGCAAGGAUCACUAUAUGUACAACUUUGGACGAAUUAUGUUAACAAUCAACUUGUGUUAAUUGGGUAACUCUACUUCGAAAAUCUCCUAAAUUGAGUGUAGUAUCAAGAGAAAGGCUACCAAGAAGAAAGGCAUUGAAGUGAAGAAAGACUCAAAGGUCAUUUUCAAAAAAAAAAAAAAAAAAACUUGAACAAUGUAGAGUAUUUUGAGCUACAUAACUCAAUACUUGGAAUUUGUUAGUGACACUUUGUGGUAAGCUAGUGAAGACAUUCUAAGUAAGUUUGUAGAAGGAAUCUUAUUGAUUUAAGCUUCAAAGUCGAGUUAAGUUUCUGGUAGAAAAAUCAUAUUUCUAGACAAGGCCAUGGGUGGGUUGAUUGCCAGGAUGACAAGGUGAGAUGAGCGUGUGUUUUGAGCGAAAGAGGUUAUUUAGGCUUGGGACAUGCAAGAAGCAUGUCCUGGCAUGAUCAAGCAGCCUGAGCCACGCGUCAUUACACACUCUAUUAUGAAAGUUGAGUAUAUUGCUACUUGUGAAGCAGCAAAAGAAGCAGUUUUGGUGAGGAAGUUCUUGCAUAAUUUGGAAGUUGUUCCAAACAUGAACAUGCCCCAUCACUUUAUAUUGUGAUAAUAGUGGGGCAUAUUACUAAUCCAUUUACAAAGACUCUCAUGGCUAAAGUGUUCGAGGGUCUUCUAGAAAGUCUAGAUCUGCGAGUUAUGUACAUUAGGUAAUCUAGGAAAAGUGGCAGAUGUGUAAUGGGUAUGAGGAUGCCCUAGUUUAUUGUAUUUGUAUAUACACAUUUUAUGUAAUACACUUGUACAUUUUACCAUUUUCAAUGUUAGAGGAUUACUUUAUUAUGAACAUCCCAAAGAGACGAGAGUUUUAGUCCAAGUGGGAGUUUGUUGGAAUUUAUGUCCUAAAACUCGUAGAUUGUAAAUAUAAUCCAUUGACCAUUGUUAAUAAAGUGUUAUUAUUGUAAUAAUUGUUAUUGAUUAUAUUAUUAGUUUUGUCUUAAUAACUCAAAUCCAAUAAACUAACAUCCUAAACUGUUUAAUAAGUAUUGAAUAGUAUGUAGAGACAUACAGGGAUCAAUGUUCGAGAUCAGCUUAAAGGGUCUAUAGUAUACGGAUAAGACUGGGUACCUUUAUCCUGGUAACAUUAUGAAUACGACUCACUUUGUAUUUGAUACAAAUACAAUGAUCCAAUGUGUUCAUGUAGUUGACAUGCGAGUGAAGGUAUCCUAUGCAAUGAGAUUGCAAUAGACUAGACUGUGAAAUAGUAACCACUUGGUGUUACUACAUUAACUAGUUAGGUUUCUAUUUCACUAGGAUGACCUAGAUAACUUAGUCUUAAUCUUGAGUGUAUUAUGAACUCAAUGAUCUUGGAUGAAUUUGACUUCAAAUACAAACUUGGAUUCCACAACCUAAACCAAAAUAAAAUAAUAUAUCAUGUUAAGAUGGAUUCACAUAGCAACAUUUUAUCAAAUGGUUGCAAUGUUUCAAAUAAGCAACAAUUAAAAUUCACAUAUCGAUUUGGCAUCUAUAAAUAUACAAACUAAAAAGUACCUAAAUGUCAAUUAUUUACCCAAUAAGGCUAACUAAGUAACCAACGUCUAAUAUGUUUUGCAAUGAAAAAGGUUGCCAUAUUGUUAAUUUGGCCAUAUUGUGAAGGCAACCUCUUAGAUGUGUUUGUGAGAAAGGAAAGAAAUACCAAAAUAAGUAUGGACUAAGAUAGUAUCAAAUAAAGUUAAAGUUGAAUUUUAAAGCUCUAUUUUUUUCAAGAUAGAGAAAUUUCAGCUAAAGAGGAAAACACUAAGGACAACCAAGCAAAAAAGUCUAACAAAUAUCAAAAGAGAACAUGCAGGAAAGAAAGAAUGUAAAUAAGGUUUUAUCCGCACCAAGCAAAAAAGUCUAACAAGUAUCAAAAGCUUCAUAAGUUGUACUAGAAUUCAAAGCUCUAAACUCUAAAGAAUGUAAAUUUCUUUGAAGAAAUUUGUGUAUAAAGGUCACACAGUUGAAAAUUCAAUACCUUUUCAAGAAUGUUGUUGAGAAGAUUAUUGUGAUGAAUCUUUGAAUCCAAAUUAUGGAGACAAGAUAAAUAAAUGAGUUCUGAUUCUAACUGACUGAAUGAGAGUUUAGAAAAUAAGAACAUUGGAGUUGAAUUAUCAGCAUUUAUUUUAAUCAAACUUACGAUAGCAAACCAAAUUAUAGAGAGAGAUCAAAUGCUAGGAUAAAGGAAUAAUCUUACAUUUGGUGAGUUCCCAAAUGUUGUGGUAGUCACGAGAGUUAUUCCACUCGAAUUGUCUUAGACAAGAGGCUUCCAUUCAGCAAGUACUGGUGAGAAUUAAAGUGGAAUGACAAACUUAAAAACACCUAAUCUUUAACAAACUUUUCCGACUUUUUGCAAUUAUUUUUUAACACAAGAUAUCAAAACACACUUAAAAACCAUAACAACCAAUUACCAUAAAACGGUGUCCAAUAACAAUAAUUGGGUCAACCCAAACAUCAUCAAAUUCUUGGGAAAGGUUGUGGACUAGACCUUCACCAUCUUGCCCCUAAAACAAGUUAAAGCUUAAGGAAAGAACACAGUAGAAACAAAAAUCAUAAACUCAUCAGUUAGAUAGUAUUGGUGGUCAAAACCUCAAGGUCUCACUUCUUCCAUUUUAUAUUACCAAAUUUGAAAAUGAUUUUUAAUAUAUGAUCAUUACUUGAAACAUGUUGGUGUACAAGUGUGAAUGAAACUAAAUCAAGUUUGUGUUUUAUGUUAUUGUUUUUGACAGUAUAUUUAUGUGCUAUGCAAUCCAUGAGAGUAUAUUUAUGUGCUAUGCAAUCCAGAAGGGGGAAUGCAAGCUAUACCCAAUUCAUAAUUGUAUUUGGAACACUAAUGAUUUUAGCACAAAUUCCAUCUUUCCAUUCUCUAAGACAUAUAAACCUUAUCUCCCUCACUCUAUACCUUGGCUAUAGUGCUCUUGCAACAUAUUAAAAUUCUCGUAAUUAAAAAUUCAUACACAAUUUAAAUUAAAUUAAACAUCAAGACCCCUGACGAAGAUGAAUCUCUGUUCAUUUUUCUUUUUAUUAACAAACAAAAGUUUUUAGGUCAACUUCUUUCAACAACCUCCUCAAGGAUCCUUAAUUAUCUCUUUCCAAGUUCAUAACCACUCUAGUCAUGCAAAGAUUAAGGUUCAUGGCCAAUCAACAAUUAAUCUGUGAUUAAGAUAUUAUGAACGCUAUUCACAUAAAAACAUGAAAAGAUUAAGAGCAAAUAAUCAGAUGCAUUACAAAGAAUAAUUCAUAAACUUUGUCUACAUCUAUCCCUAGGAUUAAGAGUUUAGCUACCCCAUACUUCACAAUCUAAAACACAAAACUCAAUACAAUACCCAUAAAAAAAAUUAAAGGAGAAGAAAAAGAAAACGAAGAAGAAAAGCUAGUGAUUCGUAUUAUUAUAAUACUGUGUAUAACAGUAUGUGUUUUUUAAUAUUCUCUGUUUCCAGCUCCAAUGUACCAAAAUAUUAUCACAAACUCCACAAUCCUUCUCUUUCCAAUCCCUAAACUAACCAAUGAAUCAUAUUCGCACGCUUGGUAGCCUUGUUCAAAAUAUUAUAUAUUACAAUUAUAAUAACUUGUAUCCCCCCUUUUCAAGCCUAAAAUGCAAAACCUUUCUUCCAUUCUCUAAGGCAUAUUUCCUCUUCUUUAAUUUUGCAUUCCAAUUUUAAAUUACAAAUUACAAAUUUUAAUCACAAAGGAAAAAAGGAAAAUUAUUACCUUUAGAAAGGGAAGAAAAUAAAUGAGUAACCAUGAAGGAUUUGGAAACGAAUAGAGGUUUAGCGAAAGUGGAAUGCGACAGAAGGACGGUGAAUGUGUUUACUCGUUUUCGAACAGAGAAUGUGUUUACGCAUUCCGAACGGUGAACAGACGGACGCAAAUCAACGAAGGUGAAGGGAACGCAAAGCAGACGGACGGUGACGGACGAUGAACGCAAAUGAAUGAAGGUGAAUGCUUAUGAACGCGAAGGGAAGUCUUUUCCGGCGAUGAACGCAGAUGAAUGCACAGAUGAACGCGAAGGGAAGGUUAGGUGAACGACGCUUUUGAUUUCGGGUGGAGAAGGGACAAAGUCGCGGCGAAUUAGGUUUAAUUAAGAAAAGGGGAAGUGAUCUAAUUGAAACGUUGGGUUUUGUAAAAGAAUAUUAACACAAUAAUUUUUUAGAAAUUUCUUGACGUUUUUAAAACGUCAAAAACAAAUUAAAAUUUCUUGAACUUUUUAAAACAUCAAUGAUUUUUUAGAAUUAUCUUGACGUUUUAAAAACGUCAAGAAUUUUUUAUAAAUUUCUUGACGUUUUUAAAAAUGUCAAGAACUUUUUAGAAUUAUCUCGACAUUUUAAAAACGUUAAGAAUUUUUAUAAAUUUCUUGAUGUUUUUAAAACGUCGAGGAAAACUAUAUAUUAUUGACGUUUAAAAAACAUCAAGAAAGUUGAAUUCAUAAACAUUCUUGACGUUUUUUAAACGUCAAAAAUUAUUAGAUAUUUCUUGAUGUUUAAAAAACGUCAAGAAAAAGUACAUCUUACUUGACGUUUAAUUGCAUAAAAAACGUCAAGAAAAAACGUCAAGAAAGUUGAAAAUUGGCCUUUCAUAAAAAUUCUUGACGCUUUUUUAUUUGAAAUCACAUCUUUCUUGACGUUUUUGGGAAAAAACGUCAAGAAAGGAAAACUACAACCGUCAAGAGAGCCUGUUUUUGUAGUAGUGAUUUUGGGGACAAGACUGAGUGGGGAGUUGGGAUUAUAAUUGCACAAAAUGGAAUUCACUCAUUUCCUACUGUAGGAUAAGUAGAUGAAUGUUAGCUUAAAUGGUGUCUCCAAAACUUAAACAAAGGGCCCGUACUCUCUCUAUGACAUGAGAGGGGUUUUUGUUUAUUAGUAGGACCAUAAACAAGUUGUUCAUUAGAGGAGCACUAGUUUUUAAGGAUUAGAGGUAACAUAGGGGUAAAGCGGUAAAUUGAUCCAACUGGUGUUACAAACACUCGUGAAGGACUAACUUACUAUUAUUGGUCUAUAUCCGUGGACACAGAAAUAUAUUUUUAGUGAGAAGAGUUCAGUUGUGAGUCUUUAGUGGAGUGUACACACAACUAACGAAUAUUGAUUAAUGUGGUUAAUGAGUUUAGCCAAUUAAUCUUAGAUCGUUGUAGCUUCUGAUCUGUAGGUCCACUAGGUCCCUUUCCUAGCUCGUAAAGGGUAAUGAGAUUUAUUUGUAUUAGUUGUAAUUUAAAAUGUUUAAAUUUAACUUGGGAAUUAGUAUAAUGUAUAGUGAUACAUUAUAAUAUAAAGUUUAUCAAACUUUACUAUAUAAAUUUAACUUUGGGGAUGAUUUAAAAUUAAUUUAUGAGAGAUAAAAUAUUUGAAUGAGUUCAAAUAUUAAUUUAAUGUAAAUUGGAUUCAUAUUAAAAUUAUUGAGAGAAACUUAUAUUUGAAUAUGAUUCAAAAUUAAUUUAAGUUAAAUAUAAGAUAAAUAAUUUAAUGUUAUUAGUUAAUUGGAGAAUUAAUUAAUAGUUUAGUUUAAUAUUAUUUAAUUAAAUGUGAUUUCAUUAAUUAUUAACUAAUUGAUUAAUGUUUAAUUAAUCAGUAGAUUUGAAAUAUAUAUUAAUUUAAUUGUUUGUAAAUUAAUAGAAUCUCAUAGUUCUCUUCUACUUCAUUUUUUAUUCCUAGAAGGAAAGAGAGUUAUAAUAUCUAGAAGAAAACAAUUUUCUUAAAAAAUGAAUAUAAUAAAAAAAGAAAAAAUAAGGCUAACGCUAUUGCUCUUUGCAAAAAGAAAAGAGUUUCUCUCAAUAUCUCUAAACUUUUUCCCAUCCCAAUUGGUUCCACAAACCAAUCUUAUCACAGAGGUACUCUUUGCAAUUUAAGCUCUCUUUGCAAUGGACAGUCUUCAAAGUUUUUUUAACGAUGUUUCUAAUGCUUUCCUUUCUCUCUCAUGUUUAAUAAAACAAAUUUCUCUUAAAACCUGUAGGGAGGCUACAUCGUAUCGAAUUUCAUACAACUGACGUGUUCAUCGAGUUACAACAAGUGCCGCACAAUAGUCUGUUCCAUGUUUGAAAAGUUGUGAGUGUGACACGCUGCACAUGAGGUUAGAACGAGACAUGGCAAGGCAAGCUCUACGCGCACCUGCCAACUUCUGCCACAAUAUUUUGUACGCAAGCUAAUGUCUUUGGGCUGUUUUUAUGGUAUUUGGAAAUUUUAAGCAAAGUUUUGAUAUUUUUAUGAUCAACAGGAAUUAAAUGGAAUUAUUUCCCAUUAUUUUCAUUAUUUUAGAUCAGAAGGAGAUCGAACAAAUUUAUAAGCCAAGGGUCCAAGCUACUCUCUAUAAGUGACAAAAAUGAGUUUAAAGUUGAUUUCUAAACAUGAAUUUACUAUCAAAUGUUUCAAGCAUGCUUUGAUGUUUGAAUAUUUGAGGAUACUGACUUAUAAAGUAUUUCCAAAGCAUGAAUUUAGAAACAUUUUGGUAAUGAAAAUUAUAAGCAAUCAUGAUUGUGCUAAGUUAUCAAAAUGUUUAAGCUUGAAAAUAAUAUUAGCAUGUUUUAGUCUAUACCUAAAAUAUUCUAAGAUAUAUAGCAACCCUUCGGGAGAGAUUUUCUUGUGCAUAGAGGUCAUUUGAUUUGGAUAUUCAGUAAAUACCUAGCUUUCCAUCAUUGGUAUUAGAUAAGAGAUGAAGACUUCUAAAGAUGCUUAGUUUCCCAUCUCAAGGGACGAGACCCUGUACGAAUGCCUAGUUUCCAUCUCAUUGUAGUUAUAACGAGAUAGGGCACAAUUGAUGCCUAGAGUUUCAUCUCGUAAGUAUCGUAUCACGGGAUAGGGCUUCUAUGCCUAGUUUAUUGUUUUUCGUCUUGACGAUUCUAGUAUAGCAACUGAAAGGGAAAGUUUGAGAUAAGUUGUUUGAGUUUGAUUUCAUUUAUGUUAAGAGUUAAUUGUUAAAUACUUAUUAUUUCAAACAAUGUUUUAUAAAACAAUCACUCAUUGGGCUAUUUAGCUCACUCUUUGGAUAAAUAUCCCCAUAUGGAUUACGUUGUUUGGAAAAUUAAACUGUCUUUAGUACUUCAAAGAAAACUUCCCUCCCAUGUCCUCUCACCUCAUGUCAUCCCAUUUGUGUUGAUAACAUGAAAAAUAUUUAGCACCUUUUAAUUGAUUAUGUCUUUGUAUCGAAAUGUUGGUUCCGUCUUCUCCAAACAUUCAAUAUUUGUUGGGAUUUUUUGCUCAAUCAAGGCUUAUUCUUGUUUGUUCUCGACCUGCUACCUAUGAUUUAUGAUUUUGUUUUGGACAUAUUAUUUUAUCAUUUUGUUUGGUUUUAUAUUUGUGGCUUUUUUUUUGUUUUGUUUUGUGUUUUGUUUUUUUUUUUUUUUGAAAAGGAGACAACCUCUUUAUUAAUAUUAAAAUAAUAAAAUAAUUAGACAAAAGCUCAUGGUACAAGAGAGUUAUACAAUGAACAUGUAACCAUGGAUCAGAGGGUGCACCUUGGCAUCUCAACUAGGUUGACACCCCCAUAGCACCCUCAUCAUAUCCAACCAAGCUAAAACCCAUAACAAAGGAGUAAUGUCCAAAGGCAAAACAAACACAAAAAAAGCCUUCUAUUUGUGGCUUUUGUUUUGAUCUUGUGUUGUCGCUUUUUGGAUGUGAUGAGGGCGCUAAGGGGGUGUCAACACUCAAACCUUAUGACGUAACAAAUGCAAAUUUUAUGACGUUUUUAGGGGUAGUCCCUCCCAUUACUAGCUCAACACUCAAACGGAGUCUCCUGUAUAAAAUAUAAAAUAAUACAGACACAAAUAGUGAAUGAAAUCUUAUGACGUAACAAAUGCAAAUUUUAUGUAUACUGCAAUUGACUAAAUAUUGAACAAGAAAGCCCAAGGGAAUACAAAAAAAUCCAACGUUUUUAGGGGUCAAUUUGAAAAAUGGCAAAAUUACUUUUUCUUUUCAAUUUUAGCAAACAACAUUUUUUGCACGUGCAUGGUAUUUUAUAAAAUACCAGAAUAUCAACAUUCUUCAACUGUAGUUAUUUCGUUUCUACAUUGUAAUUAAUUUAUGUUAUGCAUUUAUCAGUUUUUAAUUAUCUUUUACUUGAAAUAGAUACAUCAACUCAUAUCAUAAUAUUUUUCUUAAUAUCUCGAGUCUCAACUAAUUAAUUCACAUAUUAAUAACUUUAUUCAAUCAUACUAAUUUCAAAAUAACCUAAUUGAAUUUGAAUUUCAAAAUAACAAAAUUAUUAUUUUUCGGAAUUUGAGAGUCUCAACGAUAGAUUUUGUAUUAAAAUAACCUUAAUUGAAUUUCAAAAAUAAAAAAUAUCAACAUGUUCACUAUCUUUAUCUCAAAAUAACAUUAAUGCCUUGAAUAUCAAGAUAAUUAAAUUAUUAUUUAAAAUUGGAAGAAACUCAACAUUAAAAAAUAUUAACUUGUUCGCACACAAGCAUAGAAGCACUGCGCACACACGUACACAUGCACACUUACACACACGCGCACACACGCACAUCUACACACAGACACCCACAGACACACGAACGCAUGCACAUACACAUGCACACGCGCACGCAUGCACAUACACAUGCACACGAGCACGCAUGCACACGCACACACCUAUCCACACGCGCGCACAAGCACACACACAUGCACAAACGCACACACGCGUACGCACAAACGCACACACUUAUACACAUACGCACACGCGCACAAACACGCACGCACGAGCACACACACACCUAAGCACACACGCAAUAGCCUGCGCACACACACGCACGCACAAACACAUACAAACAUGCACACACCCACACAUAUAUGCACACGGACACUCGCAACAAACGCACGCACAUACACAUACGCACACCUACCUACACGCACACACGUACACACGCACAUAUGCAUAAAGAUGUAUAAAUGAGUUAAAAUUAAAAAAAAACUACAUUAAUUGUGUUUAGAAGGACUUUUAAACCAUGUUCAUUUGACUUAAUAACAUUAAUUAAACUAUAAUUUCUAUCAAUAUUGGCUUAAAAAGUGUCAUUCGUGUAAUUAUUUCAAUAUAAUGCGAUUUUAUCCAAUUCUAUUUGCAACAAACAGGUCGAAUAUGAACCAGUAGAUAUACAUGUCAUAAGAGAUAUAGGAACAUUUUUAUGGUCAUUUUGAAAAAUGCAAAACUUUUUGUAACGACCCAACUUUUCUAGGUAAGUCGAGGUCAUUAAUUUUUAAUAAAAGACUUUGUUGAUACAAAAUGAAGCGUAAGUCAAUUUAAAAAAAAAUAUGUCAGGCCUGAUUUUCAAAUAUCAAGAAAACUUAAAAAUAACACUAUUUACAAAUAAAAGUUUGUAAACUAAGUUUUUAGUACAUCUUAAACCUUAAAAGAAACAUAAGCGGAAGCAAAAUACACAUUUCCUAUGGCAAUCACGCUUCCUUCCUGCCCCUCGCCGGUUUGCCACCUUUAUUUCCUUUGCCUGAAAAUUAAACAUAAGAAGGGUGAGUAUUUUAAAUACUCAGUAAGAGACCCUAUACUGGUCUCGUCAGGGAAAAUAAAUUGUUAAAGUUCUAUUGGGACACCCUGUACAGUCGCAGUCUUGUGAUCCCGUAGGAUACACAUUCAGUCUAACGCCCCGAAGGACGUACAUAUCAGUCUGACGCCCCGAGGGACGUACAUAUCAGUCUAACGCCCCGAGGGACGUACAUAUCAGUCUAACGCCCCGAGGGACGUACAUAUCAGUCAAGUGUUCUGCAGAAACACAUAUCAGUCAAAUACUCCCGAAGGUGCAAAAUAAAUUGGUGAUCCCGUGGGACACCUACAAGGUAAACAUCCCAAUACAACCUAACAAUUUAUCCCCUCAUUCCAUUCAACCCAUCUUUCAGUUACUUCAAAUCACAAAGUCCUUUCUUUCAACAUCCUAACAGUCAACUUAUUUUACUACAGUCAUAUGUCUGUCAAUAAUAUGCUAAUACAUCAGUCAAUCACUAUACAGUCAAGUCAAUACACCCCUCAGUUCACCAGCACAAACCACAGUUCAGUAUAAUCCACAUCCAACUGAAACAAAUUCACUAGUUCACAUCCAAUCUUUAUACAGCACAAUCUAUUAAUAUCAUCAUGUACACAGAAGCAUAAUUUCAGUCAUUCACAUGUAUACUUUCGGCAAUCCACAUCAAUUCACACAUCAAUGUAUAUAUAUAUGUUUCCAGUCAAAUACAACAUACACUAAACAUUUAGUCUGCAAUCAAACAUGUACAUCUUAAUCAUCAUCCAUACAGUCCAACACAACUCAAAAACUUUAGGUAAGUCCAGUAGAAAAUCCCUUACCUCACUUUUAUGCAAGUUCUUCAAUCUACUAAAUCCAAUGAAUCAAAUCCUAAACAUAAUCAAUCAUAAAAUCAACAUCUUUCUAAAUAGUUUCAACCAUUCAAAUUACCCCAUAUGUAAAUUCCACAACUUACCCAAGAAGUGGAAAAUCAAGUCCACUUCAACCUUUUGGAAAAUCAAGGAUUCGCUCACUGAAUCAAGAUGUACCUUCAAGAAUUAAGCAUUUCGCCAACAAUUAAAUCCAAUGGCAGCAUCCAACAAAAACCAAGAAACCAACAAAAACCAUAACUUGUUCUUACCCAAAUAUGAGCCCAAUGGUUCACGGCGAGGCAGAUCUGGACGACGAUUUGCUUUGCGAGGGAGGCACGACGGUUGUGAGCGAGAGGCACGACGGUUACAGGCGGAUGGGCGCGACGGUUUAGAUCUGAAGAAGAAAAGAGAGGGUGGCGGUUGGGUUCGGCGAGCGGCGGCGGUUUUGCUUCGCGAACGGAGAUGGAGACGGCAAUUCGGCGCGCGGGACGACUGCAACGCAAAUCUGGACUGGCAGCGGCACGGUCUUGCUUCGCGGCUGGGUAUGGUGAAAAAGAAAGAGAAACGGAAGAAGAGAAGUCUCGGGUGGCGGUUGCUGGGCUACGGCGGUUGCUGGGCUGCGGCGGAAGGAGAAAAUGGAAGGAAGAGAUCGGCGGAAAGAAGGAGAAGAUGGAUGGGAGUCACGAUCGCACGGGAAGAAGAAGGGAGAAAAGAAAAGAAAAGAAAAGAAGAAAAGAAAAAUAAUAAAGAAAUUUUUAAUAUAAAGUAAAAUAAAAAUAUAUAUAUAUAUAUAUAUAUAUAUAUUACCUUUUUGGGCAUUACAUUCUUCCCUCCUUAAGAAACUUUCGUCCUCGAAAGUUCUAAUCCUGAAAUAACUCUGGAUAACGAGUCCUCAUUUCUUCCUCUCGCUCCCAUGUCGCCUCUUCAAUUCGAUGAUUCCGCCACAAAACCUUUACUAAUGGAAUGCUUCUAUUACGAAGCAUCUUUACCUCUCUAGCCAAAAUCUCCACAGGUUGUUCAACAUAGCUCAAAUGCUCGUCAAUCUCCAAGGUUCAUAGUCCACUACAUGAGAUGUAUCGGCCACAUACUUCCUCAACAUCGAAACAUGGAAAACAUUAUGAACUGCAGAGAGAGAUGGUGGUAAUGCCAAGCGAUACGCCACAACACCAACCCUCUCUAAGAUCUCAAAUGGUCCAACAAAACGAGGACUUAACUUUCCCUUCUCAAAACGCAUAACACCCUUCAUAGGUGCUACCUUCAAGAAUACCUUUUCUCCCACAUCGAACUUAAGGUCUUUUCGCCGUACAUCUGCAUAACUCUUCUGUCUACUCUGCGCUGUUUGCAUACGCGUCCUAAUCGUUUGAAUAGCCUCAUUAGUAGACCGAACUAAUUCAGGUCCCAUCAAUCUAUGUUCACCAACCUCACUCCAACAAACAGGGGUUCUACAACAUUUGCCAUACAAAGCCUCAAAUGGUGCCAUACCGAUGGUAGCCUGGAAACUGUUGUUAUAAGCAAACUCCAUCAAAUGUAGAUGAGAGUCCCAACUACCUGGAAACUCUAUAACACAAGCUCGUAGCAUAUCCUCUAAAACUUGGUUCAAACGUUCAGUUUGACCAUCAGUCUGUGGAUGAAAGGCUGUACUGAAAUCCAAUCUCGUACCCAUAGCAGUCUGAAGUCCCUUCCAAAACUUGGAAGUAAACCGUGCAUCCCUAUCAGAAACAAUCGAUACAGGCACUCCAUGCAGUCUCACAAUCUCAGUUAAAUACAACUCUGCCCACUUACUAGCAGUAUAAGUGGAUUUUCCUGGUACAAAAUGUGCCGAUUUCGUAAGCCUGUCUAUGACAACCAGAAUCACUGUGAAACCCUUCAGGGUCUUAGGCAGCCCUGAAAUAAAAUCCAUCGACACAUUCUCCCACUUCCACUCUGGCACACUUAAGGUUGUAAUAAACCUGCUGGUUUCUGUCUAGGUGCCUUAACUUGCUGACAUACUAGACACUUACUAACAAAUUCCGCCACUUCCCUUUUCAUAUUCCGCCACCAAUAAAAUCGUUUUAGAUCCUGAUACAUUUUCGUGCUACCAGGAUGCAUGGAAAAUGGGGAAUUAUGGGCUUCAUCUAGUAAGUCAAUCUUAACUGUACUGUUCGCUGGCACACAUAAACGUCUCUCAAACAUCAACCCACCAUCAGAGGAUAUGGAGAACUCAUCAGUCUGCCCUGUUUCAACAAGGCGACGUCUCUCCAUCAAAUAAGGAUCAUUACUCUGAGCAUCAACAAUCUUGUGCCUCAGAGUCGGUUGCACCGUUAAUUGAGCUAGCUGUGAGGUGACUCUCCCCACAGACACUGCAAUCUCAGCUCUCUCCAAGUCUCGAUGCAAUGGUACCUGUCUAGUAAUGAGUGCUGCCGAAUGUGAUACUUUUCUACUAAGAGCAUCAGCCACCACAUUCGCCUUACCAGGAUGGUAUAAUAUCUCACAGUCAUAAUCUUUUACCAACUCGAGCCACCUUCGCUGUCUCAUAUUCAACUCCUUCUGAGUGAAGAAGUACUUUAGGCUCUUAUGGUCAGUAAAGAUUUGUAUCUUUUCACCGUACAAGUAAUGUCUCCAUAUCUUCAAUGCAAAAACCACUGCUGCCAACUCCAAAUCAUGUGUGGGGUAGUUCUGCUCGUGACUCUUCAACUGACGAGAGGCAUAAGCAACCACCUUACCUUUCUGCAUCAAAACACAACCCAGUCCUUUCUUGGAAGCAUCACUGUAAAUCACAAAACUUCCAGAUCCAUCUGGUACAGUAAGGACCGGUGCAGUAACUAACCUUUGCUUUAAGUUCUGAAAACUAUCCUCACAAGCUGGACUCCAAACAAACGGAGUUCCCUUCCUUGUCAACUGAGUCAAAGGAGUAGCCAAACGUGAAAAAUCCUCCACAAACCUCCGGUAAUACCCUGCUAAACCCAGAAAACUACGAACCUCACUAACUGUGAGGGUCGAGACCAACUGGUAACCGCUUCUAUCUUUGCAGGGUCUACUGAAACUCCCUCACUGGAAACCACAUGACCAAGAAAAGCCACCUGCUUCAACCAAAAUUCGCACUUAGAACUUAGCAUACAGUUUAUUGACUCGAAGAGUCUCUAACACCUUAUGUAAGUGUUCCUCAUGUUCGGCUUCAGUCUUGGAAUAAACCAAAAUAUCAUCAAUGAAGACUAUCACAAAAGUGUCCAAGAAAUCCUUAAACACCCUGUUCAUCAAAUCCAUAAAUACAGCAGGUGCAUUAGUCAAACCAAAAGACAUUACUAUGAAUUCAUAAUGUCCAUACCUCGAACGAAAAGCAGUCUUAGGAAUAUCACGGUCUCUAAUCCUCAACUGGUGAUAACCUGACCGUAAGUCAAUCUUAGAGAACACCGUGGCUCCCUGUAACUGAUCGAACAAAUCAUCGAUUCUGGGUAAAGGAUACCUGUUCUUGACUGUUACUUUAUUCAACUCUCUAUAGUCAAUGCAAAGACGCAUCGACCCAUCCUUCUUCUUCACAAACAAUACUGGUGCACCCCAAGGUGACACACUAGGUCGAAUAAAGCCUUUGUCAAGCAAUUCCUGUAACUGUACCUUCAGUUCUUUCAACUCAGCAGGAGCCAUCCUAUAAGGGGCUCUAGAAAUAGGAGUAGUGUUUGGCUCCAACUCAAUGGCAAAAUCAAUCUCUAUGUGGCGCAGUCCUGGAAGAUCUUUUGGAAAUACAUCUGGGUAUUCUCUUACCACAGGUUCUGAAGUUAAAGAAGUCUCACCUUCCCUAGUAUCCACCACACUUGCCAAAAUACUCCAAGUACCCUGGCUGAGUAGUUUACUAGCUUUCAUAGCUGAGAUUACUUUAGGCAGUACUACUGUUCCUACUCCCUUGAAUUUAAAGCUAGAUGCAGUAGGGGGACUAAACACAACUUCCUUACGAGAACAAUCAAUACUAGCAUGAUUAGUAGCUAGCCAAUCCAUACCUAAAAUUACAUCAAAGUCACGCAUAUCUAAUACCAACAAGGUUACGUCCAGCACACGACCAGCUAUCUCAAUUUCACAUGCUUUAAUCUUUUCCUUAGACAACAUAAUUUCUCCAGACGGUGUAGACACUGACAAAACAUAGUCUAAGGGUUCCACCUCUAAGCAUGCAUGCGUCACAAAAAGCGAUGAAAUAAAUGAAUGAGAAGAUCCCGAGUCAAACAAGGUCAAGGCAAAAUGCCCUAAUACUGGUAAUGUACCUGUCACUACUGUGCCGGCCUUCUCUGCCUCUGAUCUAUUAGUGGCAAAGAUUGUACCCCGCUGUGGAGGUCUCUCUCCCUGACUGCUCGAUCCAGCCCCAGUAGAUCUCAAGGGACACCUAUCAGCCAUGUGUCCCUCUUGCUUGCACUUAUAACAGACUCUCGUUCCCAUCAAACAACGACCCAGGUGGCGUUUCCCACACGUAUUACAUACUGGCCUCUCUUGAGUAGUGUCUCCUGCACCGCCAGAACUCUGCUGGAAACUGCGAAAAGAAUCACCUGGUCUCAUGUUCCUCUGAGGAACUCCUACAGUUCUCUGCUCUACUUUUCUCUUUUGACCGACGACGAUCCCUUAUUAAAGCUCCUUGGCUGUCUUUCAUCCUUCCCAAUACUCAUAUCCACUGCCAGACGCAGUGCUUCAGCUUGGGUAGUGGGCUUUAGUGCUCGCACAAAACCCCUAAUUUCAUCUCUCAAUCCCUUGACGAACCUAUCAGCUCUAGCCUGCUCAUUACUAACAAGCUCAGGGGCAAAACGUGACAGCAUAUCAAACUCCUGGUCGUACUCCUCGACUGUCAUAUAUCCUUGCUUCAACUCCAAGAAUUCCUGGCUUUUGGCGUCUCUAAGGUUAGCCGAGAAAAACUUGGUAUAGAAGCAGUUCUUAAACUGAUCCCAGGUAAUUUGCCUCACAUCUCCACCUAGCAUGCGCAUUGUAGUCCUCCACCAGAUAAUGCCUCUGUCCCUCAGUAGAAAAGCAGCACACUGAACUCUGUGCUCCUCGGACAUCUCAUGUAAUUAAAUAUGGUUUCCACAGAGGACAACCACAUUUCAGCUUUAGUAGGAUCCUCCAGUGACCCAUCAAACGUCUGAGGGUCAUACUUCCGAAAGUCCCUCAAAUGUUUCGCCUCAGCAGAAAGUUGGUUAGGUAAUUCUUGUGCAGGAGGGGCUGCUGGUGCAGGGGAACUACAGGUGCAGGUGGAACCAGGUGCCUGCUGGUUUUGAGCUAUAGCUGUCAUAAGUUCUGUAAACCUCUGCUCCAUGUGAGCAGACAGUGCAUCAAACUCAACGUGAGUCACGGGUGCAGCAGGAAUUCGCUGUUCAGCUUGACCCUCAGUAGGCUGAUUACGACCUGCUCCUCUACCUCGGCCUCCUGCUCUCUACGACCUCCUCUACGUACUUCUUCCCUUGGCGGCAUAAUUCCUAUUACCACCAACAACACUCUUUAACAAAAUCUUAAUCAUAAACAUAAGCAAGUCUUUAUCGUCAUGCAAUCUAGUUUAAUUUAGGCAAGGUCAUGCAAAUAAACCAUACAUAUAAGCAUCAAGCAUACCUGACGAGAGACGAAGGGUCGCGUUAGCCAUAGGAACACAAAAACAUAGACUUACAUCGUAAGUCAGUCUACAGAACCUAAAACUUAGGCUCUGAUACCAACUGUAACGACCCAACUUUUCUAGGUAAGUCGAGGUCAUUAAUUUUUAAUAAAAGACUUUAUUGAUACAAAAUGAAACGUAAGUCAAUUUAAAACAAUCUAUGUCAGGCCUGAUUUUCAAAUAUUCAAGAAAACUUAAAAAUAACACUAUUUACAAAUAAAAGUUUGUAAACUAAGUUUUAGUACAUCUUAAACCUUAAAAGAAACCAUAAGCGGAAGCAAAAUGACACAGUUCCUAUGGAAUCACGCUUCCUUCCUCCCCCUCGCCGGUUUGCCACCUUUAUUUCCUUUGCCUGAAAAUUAAACAUAAGAAGGGUGAGUAUAACAAUACUCAGUAAGAGACCCUUACUGUCUCCGUCAGGGAAAAAUAAUUGUUAAAGUUCUAUUGGGACACCCUGUACAGUCGCAGUCUUGUGAUCGCGUAGGAUACACAUUUCAGUCUAACGCCCCGAAGGACGUACAUAUCAGUCUAACGCCCCGAGGGACGUACAUAUCAGUCUAACGCCCCGAGGACGUACAUAUCAGUCUAACGCCCGAGGGACGUUCAUAUCAGUCUAGUGUUCUGCAGAAACACAUAUCAGUCAAAUGCUCCCGAAGGUGCAAAAUAAAUUGGUGAUCCUGGGACACCUACAAGGUAAACAUCCCAAUACACAACCUAACAAUUUAUCCCUCAUUCCAUUCAACCCAUCUUUCAGUUACUUCAAAUCACAAAGUCCUUUCUUCAACAUCCUAACAGUCAACUUAUUUUACUACAAUCAUAUGUCUGUCAAUAAUAUGCUAAUACAUCAGUCAAUUCACUAUACAGUCAAGUCAAUACACCCCUCAGUUCACCAGCACAAACCACAGUUCAGUAUAAUCCACAUCCACACCGAACAAAUUCACUAGUUCACAUCCAAUCUUUAUACAGCACAAUCUAUUAAUAUCAUCAUGUACACUAAGCAUAAUUUCAGUCAUUCACAUGUAUACUUUCGCAAUCCACAUCAAUUCACACAUCAAUGUAUAUAUAUAUGUUUCCAGUCAAAUACAACAUACACUAAACAUUUAGUCUGCAAUCAAACAUGUACAUCUUAAUCAUCAUCCAUACAGUCCAACACAACUCAAAAACUUUAGGUGAGUCCAGUAGAAAAUCCCUUACCUCACUUUUAUGCAGUUCUUCAAUCUACUAAAUCCAAUGAAUCAAAUCCUAACAUAAUCAAUCAUAAAAUCAACAUCUUCUAAAUAGUUUCAACCAUUCAAAUUACCCCAUAUGUAAAUUCACAACUUACCCAAGAAGUGAGAGAAUCAAGUCCACUUCAACCUUUUGGAAAAUCAAGGAUUCGCUCACUGAAUCAAGAUGUACCUUCAAGAAUUAAGCAUUUCGCCAACAAUUAAAUCCAAUGGCAGCAUCCAACAAAAACCAAGAAACCAACAAAAACCAUAACUUGUUCUUACCCAAAUAUGAGCCCAAUGGUUCACGACGAGGCAGAUCUGGACGACGAUUUGCUUUCCGAGGAGGCACGACGGUUGUGAGCGAAGAGGCACGGCAGUUACAGGCAGAUGGCGCGCGACGGUUUAGAUCUGAAGAAGAAAGAGAGGGUGGCAGUUGGGUUCGGCGAGCGGCGGCGGUUUUGCUUCGCGAACGGAGAUGGAGACGGCAGUUCGGCGCGCGGGACGAUGCAACGCAAAUCUGGACUGGCAGCGGCACGGUCUUGCUUCGCGGCUGGGUAUGGUGAAAAAGAAAGAGAAACGGAAGAAGAGAAGUCUCGGUGCGGUUGCUGGGCUACGGGCGGUUGCUGGGCUGCGGCGGAAGGAGAAAAUGGAAGGAAGAGAUCGGCGGAAAGAAGGAGAAGAUGGAUGGAGUCAGAUCGCACGGGGAAGAAGAAGGGAGAAAGAAAAGAAAAAGAAAAAGAAGAAAAAAAAAUAAUAAAGAAAUUUUAAUACUAAAGUAAAAUAAAAAUAUAUAUAUAUAAUAUAUAAUAUAUAUAUAUAUAUUUACCUUUCUUUGGGCAUUACAUUUUUUUUUUAAUUUUAGCAAAUAACAUUUUUUGCACGUGCAUAAUAUUUAUAAAAUACCAAAAUAUCCACAUUCUCCAACUAAAAUUAUUUUGUUUCUAUGUUGUAAUUAAUUUAUAUUAUGCAUUUAUCAACUUUUAAUUAUUUUUUACCUGAAAAAAGAUACAUAAACUCAUAUAUAUACUUUUUUCUUAAUAUCUCGGGACUCAACUAAUGGAUUCAAGACUUUAACUUUAUUUAAUCUUACUAAUUUCAAAAUAACCUAAUUGAAUUUGAAUUUCAAAAUAACCAAAUUGAAUUUCAACAUAACAAAAUUAUUAUUUUUCAAAUUUGAUAAUCUCAGAAAUAGAUUUUGUAUCAAAAUAACUUUAAUUGAAUUUCAAAAUUAAAAAAUAUCAACUUAUUCACUCUUUAUCUCACAAUAAUAUUAAUGGCUUGAAUAUCAAGAUAAUUAAAUUAUUGUUUUUAAAAUUGGGAGAAACUCAACAUUAAAAAAUAUCAACUUAUUCACACACAAUCACACGCGCACACACAUACAUACACUUGCACGCACGUGCACCCAUACACGCACACACACACGCGUGCACACACACACACACACACAAACGCACACAUGCACACGCACACCAAACCGCACGCACACAAAUACACACACACACGCACACUAAUGGUUCAAUUUCAUCGAUUGUUCCUAUUUUUCUGACAGUUUAUUUUUGCCAUCGAUAGAGGAUCUUCCGACAGACCUGCGUGACGGUGUGUGUUGACAGCUUAAUUUCGUUGGCAAAAGAAAAGUCGAUUAGUUUUUGAAGAUUUACUGACGAUAUUUGUCAUCGACAAAGGGUAAAUUUCUUGUAGUGCAUGUACAUCAAACAUAUCAAAUUUGUUAAGUGUACCAAUGAAGUAUAAGAAGUUUAUUAGUGGUGUAUCAAGCGUAUCAAACUUAUAAGUGAAGUCUUUAAGUGUAUCAAACUAAUCAAGUGUAUCAAGGUCUCAGGGUAUCAAGUGUAUCAAGAAGAAUCAAGUGUAACGAGAAGUAUUAUGUGGAACGAGAAGUAUUAUGUGUAUGAAGAUGUUUCAGGUGUGUAUCAAAAAGUAUCGAGUGUAUCAAUGAGUACCGAGUGCAUGAAUUGUAUCUAUCAAAUGUAUCAAGUGUAUCAGUAAGAAAUAUCAAGUGUAUCAAGCGGUAUUAGGUGUAUCAGACGUGUAUAAGGUGUAUCAAAUGUACAUCAAUAACGAGGGCAUUUGUGACAUUUUACCUCUUGAUGUGUGAGUUGGUCUUUGUUUUUGUCAUUUUCUCAAAUAAUAAAGUAUGUGUUCUAUGAACUUAAUUAUUAUAACUUACACUACUACAAAAACAGGCUCUCUUGACGUUUGCAGUUUUCCUUUCUUGACGUUUUUUUCAAAAAACGUCAAGAAAGAUUUCAUUUUUAAUAAAAAACGUCAAGAAAUUUUUUGAAACAUCAUUCUUGACGUUUAUUAAAUGUCAAGUAAAAUAAAUUUUUCUUUGACGUUUUUAAAACAUCAAGAAAUAUCUAUUAAUUUUUUGACGUUUUAAAACGUCAAGAAGCGUAUGAAUUCGACAUGCUUGACGUUUCUUAAACGUCAAGAAUUUAAAAUUUUACUCGACGUUUUAAAAACGUCAAGAAAUUCAUAAAAUAUUCAAGAAUAUUUUUUAAAUUACACUGAGAAGGUAUCGAAUUUUAAUUUUCAGCUCUAACAUUUUUCCUAAUCUACUUUUUUCUUCUUCACGACUGAGUAUUCGAGGGAGUCAUUUUUUGAAUUUGUUGACAUUUUUUAAACGUUAAGUAAGAUCAUUUUUUUUUUUACAUUUUAAAAAUGUCAAGUGUUAUUAAAUAAAUAUAAAAAAUAUAUUGGGCUAAUUUUAUUUCUUUAAAAUCUCUUUAAAUAUAUAGAUACAAUAAUAAAAAUCUCUUUAAAUAUAUAGAUACAACAAUAAAAAUUUCUUUAAAUAUAUAUAGAAAAAAAAUAUUGUACUAAUAUUAUUCAGAAUCACUUUAAAUAUAUAUAGAAAAAAUUAUUGUGCAAAUAUUAUUUUUUAAAAAGCCCUAGCCCCUUUCUACUCAAAACACGCGUGUUCCCCUUUCCCUCUCCAGCCGAAAUCCUUCCCAUUCGAAAAAAGUGUGUUCAGCAGUCGUCGUUCGCUUUCAACGCCUAUCCGUUCGCCUUCAACGUCUGUCCGUUCGAUUUCACCGUCGAGUUCCACCUCUUCGAAUCCCUCACGUCCGUCGUUUCAAAGUCCUUCGUCCGCUGCAUUCCAUCUUUCCAAAAUCCCUCAGUGCCUCACGCUACUGCGUGCCCGUCAUUUCGACUUCACCAACGAGUGCCUCACGUUCGUUGCUUCAAAAUCCAUCAUCCACUAAGUUGAGGUUAGGCUUUUAUUUCCCUAAAACAUAUAACAAUUUCAUUAUUCUUCAUUAUAUAAACUCAGAUGGCAUGAUUGGCAAUAAUAGAUAGGAAGGAUGGAGGUGUAAACUUCGAAUUGAUUGAAAUUCGUAUACUUUUAUUCAAUCUUUAAAGUACUGUAGUUUUUCUUCACCAUCAAAUUUUAUUAGGAUUUAAAGAAAACAAAUGAAUGUAUGAACAAAUUUUUGGGAGUGCAUGUCAUAUAAUCAACUUCCCUCUUUCAGUAAUUUUGAAGAUCUCAUAUAACAAUACUACUAAUUGAGAGCUUUGGAGGAUGAGUCAAUUCUUCUCCCUUCGUGAAAAGAAAAAGAAAAAAAGAUCAUGUAUUCUCUUUGUUUGUUACCUUAUGUUGUCCAAGGUUUUGCCUUCUUCCUUAAUAAUUUGGAGGUGUUUUAACUAAUUUUUUCAUUCACCCUCUUUUUGCCAUAGUUGCUUUUGUGUGCAGCUUGAGAUUUUUAAUUCAAUUGUGUGUUUUUACUUUUUUCUAUUGGGUGAAUUCUGUUUUGACUUUUUUUAAGCUAAAUAUAAUUAAUUGUUUCCUAUGGAACCAUAACCUUGAUCUUGGUUAUAGAUUUCAUUUUAAGGUAAAAGUAAAACACUCUUAUUUGAAUGAUUAUGUUGUAUUAUCCAUUGAAAGACUUGGUGUUGUAAUUGCCUUGUCUUCCUCAGGUAUUCUGUUGUAUGGUUGAUUACGAUCUUCAUGAUUGGAAUCUUUGUUUAGUGAAGCUCAUUUUGUUUGAUUUACUCAGUCGUGCAAUUGCUUUCUUUUUUAUGAUCACUUUAAAAAAGAAAUGAGUUUAGUUAGUUCUUUUAAUUUUCUUAAGUUUCAUUUGUAAUGCAUGAAAAUCUCUUAGCAGUAGAAACUGAAGACCAUAAUUGUAGAAGAUUUGUAUAGAUUGGAUUCACAUUCUCAACAUUGGUUAUACAGGCAUUACUUAUCAUUGUCCUUCCACUUUAAUUAUCAAUAGUGACAAUAACUUUAUUUCUCAUUAGAUUUACAAUGAUGGAUAAAUCUUGGAUGCACAAGAGUAGAUUGUCUAAAGAUUAUGAGUUGGGUGUGGAAAACUUCAUCAAAUUUGGAUUUUCUAAUACAACUAGCUCCUAUAUUCGUUGUCCUUGUUUGAAAUGUGGGAAUUGUGAAAAACAUAGUAGAAAGGGUGUUAGAGAUCACUUGUAUGUUAAUGGUAUUGAUGAAAGUUAUAAAUUUUGGUUUUGGCAUGGGGAAGAACUUCCUAACUCAUCCUUCUAUGAUGAAUCUUCAAAGUUUGACACCCAUACAUGUGAAGAUCAGGAUGUUGGAAGUGUAAAAGAAAUGAUUGAAGUUGCUCAUGAGGAGUAUUCAAAAGACCCAACUGGAUUUGAGAAGUUGCUUAUUGAUGCUGAAAAACCAUUGUACGAAGGAUGCAAAAAGUACACAAAGUUGUCUACUCUAGUCAAAUUGUAUAAUUUAAAAGUUAGGUAUGGAUAGAGUGAUACUAGUUUUUCAGAAUUACUUGAAACUUUGAAGGAAAUUCUGCCUAAUACCAAUGAGCUCCCGAAUUCAUUGUAUGAAGCAAAGAAAACAUUAGGUGCAUUAGGAAUGGAAUAUGAAAAGAUUCAUGCAUGCCCGAAUAAUUUUGUCUCUAUAGAAAAGAAUUUGCUAAUGCAAUUGAAUGUCAUGAAUGUUGUCAAUCAAGGUGGAAAAACGUCAAGGAUACAAAUGAAAGGAGAAAGCAAAUUCCCUCUAAAGUGAUAUGGUACUUUCCAAUCAUUCCACGAUUUAAAAGGCUAUUCAGAAGCAUUGAAUGUGCUGAAAACUUGACUUGGCAUUCUACUGAAAGAAUUAAUGAUGGUAAGUUACGACAUCCAGCCAGACUCUCCAGCAUGGAAGUUAGUAGACAUGAAAUGGCAAGACUUUGGUUCUGAACCCAUAAAUCUUCGUUUAGCAUUGUCAGCCGAUGGAGUAAAUCCUCAUGGUGACAUGAGUUCUAAAUACAGUUGUUGGCCGGUAGUGAUGGUUAUUUACAAUCUUCCACCAUGGUUGUGUAUGAAAAGAAAGUACAUGAUGCUAUCAAUGCUAAUUUCAGGACCAAAACAACCAGGGGAUGACAUAGGCAUAUACUUAGCACCACUAAUUGAAGAUUUAAAACUUUUAUGGGAAAGUGGUGUUGAAUGUUAUGAUGCUUAUCGAGAAGAACCAUUCAACUUAAGGUCAGUUUUGUUGUGGACAAUCAAUGAUUUUCCUGCAUAUGGUAACCUUAGUGGAUGUUGUGUGAAAGGGUAUAAAGCAUGCCCAAUUUGUGGAGAUAAUACAAAUUCUAUAAGGUUAAAGUAUGGGAAGAAAAUGGCAUACCUUGGACAUCGUAGAUUUUUGGCACGAAAUCAUCUGUAUCGACGACAAAAGAAGUCAUUCAAUGGUAAAAAAGAACUUGAUACAAUUCCAGAGCCACUUUAUGGGGAGGAUGUGUAUUUAAAAUUGAAAGAUCUUGAAUUUUCUAGAGGGAAGAAGAACCAUAAGAAACGGUUGAUGAACAGAAGUGACAAAAUUUGUUGGAAUAGAUUAUCUUCUUUUUUUGAGUUGCCAUACUGGAAGGAUCUUCAUGUUAGACAUUGUUUAGAUGUGAUGCACAUUGAAAAAAAUGUUUGCAUGAAUAUCUUAGGUACAUUUCUUGAUAUUCCUGGAAAAAGUAAGGAUGGAUUGAAUGCUAGACGCGAUUUAGUUGAUCUAAAACUUCGACCAGAGCUUGCCCCUAUCAGAAUAUGUUACUCCUACUAAUUACUUUCAUUAUGUAAAAAAGACAUCUAAACGUGAGGAUGAGAUUAUACUUGAGAAUAAAGAACUUCGAAGGCGUGUAAGCGAAUUAGAAGCACAUAACCACUCAAACUUGUCUAGACCAUUAUCUGGACAUGGUAGCUGUUCGAAGCCAAAUAUCUUAGAAGAGAGUGACUCGAUGAAAAUAAUCAAAGGGAAGAGUAAGUUGAUGGAUAAAAUCGAAGGGAAAGAGGUGGAGGAGAUCAAUGUAAAUGACGACAAAGUAGAGUUGGACAUCUUUAAGGUAUGUGAUCGAUCCUCUAAUAAACUCAAAUUCUUAAUAUUCAUAUCAUAUUGAAAGUGAAUGUUUUUCUUGAAUUAGGAGAGAGCCUUAAUAAAAAUGACUAAGGAAAAAGAGGUUGUCUGUGAAUCGACGUCAGUUUUGCCAAUGGGAAUGAAGUUGAUUCUCAUAUACGUUGAGAAGAUAAUGGAGAAAGAUUCUAGUAUCACUAUUCCACUACUGUUGGCAUUUUUGGUAUUAGUCGAAAGACUUCUGUUCUCCGAGAGGACAUCAUUGAUCUUUGUAACAUGAAUGAGGUCAAAACAUUUACAUUGGUGGCCUAUAUGACGUAAGUAUCAAUUUCAUUUCUUUAGAUCUAAAUUUAUGUAUCUCGUUUACAAGUUUAUAAUAUUUUGUAGGUACUUGUAUUCAUCUGUUCUUGGUUCGAAGGAAACUAUACAGUAUGUCUUUGUAGAUCCAUCCCUCACCUCUGUCGGACACUCGCAAGAAUCUCGAGUUCGACACUUAUGCAGUAGAUUGAUGGUCUCAAAGAUUAACGAAAUAGUUCUUGCUCCUUUUAAUCCUGGGUAAGUCAAGUUAUUUUAUUACUUGCAUUGCAAAAAACUAGUACUAAUAUUUUGUAUAAUUAGGGGUCAUUGGGCACUGCUGGCCAUAAAUGCAUAUGAUGAUAUAGUAUUUUACCUCGACUCACUAAGGACAACAUCGAAGUCAACUAUAAGAUACGUCACCGACACGUAAGUUAAUCUAGUAUUUCAUUUAGUGUUGAUUCUUAUAUGCAUGUACACAAUAUUUAAACUAUUUGUUCAAUCUUAUCUUGUCAAAACAGAGCAAUAGCGAUGUUUCAGUCACAAAAGAACAUUAAAAAAAGUAGAAAACAAACUUUAUGGCUAACAGUAAAGGUAAGUAUCAACUUUUAAAGUCAUUAAAUUUUUGUAGACUACUAGCAAUUAGGAUUACUUUGUUAUUCAAAUUUGUUGCUUUUAUAUAGUGUCCACUGCAAGGAAGUAUUGAGUGUGGAUACUAUGUGAUGAGGUAUAUGAGAGAAAUUGUGACUAGGGGAAGCAUUGUCAUAUCCGAUGCGGUAUGUUAUAUAUCAAACUAUUGGUUUUGUGAGUUAAUUGGUUUAUUUGUAUAGUCAGUUAAUUCAUUUAAUUUAUUUUGUAUGUUUAUUGAUUGAUACACGAAGAUCAUACUCACAGGCAGAACUACACGAGGUGCGAGUUGAGUUAGCUGACUUUUUGGGUUCUUACAUAUGAUUAUGACCAAUAUUUUGUGAUUCUGAAGUAGGAAAUUUUUUGUUGUGUCGCUUCUUUAUGACCCUAAACUUUAUGUAUAGAAACUUUAGCCGAUAAUUCUUUUGAAUUGUUCAUAUGGAGGAAGGGGGGAGGGGGGUUCAUUCGUAUAUAUUUUUAUUAUUGUUAUAGCUAGCAUGUUUUGUGACUUUUUAAGUUGAUUUGGAUUCAUGGCAAUGUAAUGCCAUAUGAAAUCUAAUGUAAAGCCUAUUUCAUUAUGUAUAUGUAAAGUCUUGGAAUUGAAUAUAUAUGGUGAAUGGUUUUAUUUAUAUAUGUUUGAGAUUUGAAACUAUAUUUGAUGAAUAUCAAAUAUCUAUGAAACUGUUGUGGACAAUUACAGGAUAAUUACAGGACAAUCAGAAUAUAUUUCUUUCCAUUACAGCAUAAUUCAAUUACAAUUUCUUUUUUUAAAAAAAAUUAAAAAAUGCUUGACGGUUUUAAAAUGUCACGAACAAUUGCAAGCUUGACGGUUUUAAACUGUCAUGAACAAUUGCAUUUUUACGGUUGACAAAUGUCAAAACAAUUACAUUCUUGACAGUUUUAAAAUGUCAUGAAUAGUAAAAUUCUUGACGGGUUUAAAAUGUCAUAAACCAGUUCAUCCUUGACGGCUUUAAAAUGUCAUAAACAAUACCAGUCCUGACGGUUCUAAAACGUCAUGAACAUAAGUAUAUUUGACGUUUAUAAAACGUCAACGUUCACUAUUCUUGACGUUUAAUCAACCGUCAAGAACUUUGCCUUUCUUGACGCUGGCUUCAACGACGUUUUUAAAACCGUCAAGAGAGCCGUCUCUUGAAGUUUAAAAACGUCAAGAGAGCCUGUUUUUGUAGUAGUGUUAUUUUGCCAUUUUCGCAAGUGUCCCUUAAUUGUAAUACAUGUAUAUGUGACAUAAUCUAAUCAAACUAACCAUAAAUGGACUUAAUGUAUCAGGUAUUAGGUGUAUCAGACGUGUAUAAGGUGUAUCAAAUGUACAUCAAUAACGAGGGCAUUUGUGACAUUUUACCUCUUGAUGUGUGAGCUGGUCUUUGUUUUUGUCACUUUCUCAAAUAAUAAAGUAUGUGUUCUAUGGACUUAAUUAUUAUAACUUAUUUUGCCAUUUUCGCAAGUGUCCCUUAAUUGUAAUACAUGUAUAUGUGACAUAAUCUAAUCAAACUAACUCAUAAAUGGACUUAAUCGAUCUCAUGGACCACGAAUUCUUCAAUUACUUGCAAAUUUGGUGAGUUCCUUCAAACAGUGGGCGAAGAGCUUAAUUUUGAGAGAGAGGAAAAGUCGUGAAGAGUAUAUGCGAGAGAGGGGGAACGUGCCAGAGAGCAUUUGCGAGAGAGCUAAAGACAGCGACGAUGUGGGAUGAAGUAAGGUUUUUUUCGGUCGUUGUUCACAGUGGGAUGAAAGCUUCGAAUUAUUUGUUUUAAAUCAAAAGGCGUAAUGAUUGAAGGAAAACAUUUAUUUUUUAUUAGGGUAAUUUUUAAUGACACAUAAUUUAUGUCAUUAAUUAACAAUGCGAAAAUUUUGUCAAGAAAACUCAAUUUGUGUCACGAAAAAUUUUGUAUUUUUAUUUUUAACGACACAUUUUAUUCCCUCAUGUCCCUUUUUCUUGAUUUCAAGUGUCAUUAAAACUUAUUGUUGAAUAAGAAAUUUUGAGACCAAUCACAAGUUGCCACAUCAUUUAUUAAGUUAAUGAUGAAAAGUACAAAUAAUUAAAUUUGGGACUAAUUAAAAUUGACAUAUGCUCCAAAUUAAAGAGUUGAAAAUAAAUAAAAUGGUCAUUCUAAUAAUGCCACAUGUUUUCAUAUUAAUAGUUGGAUUAAGUUAAUCAUUUUAGUUCAAUUAAAUAUUAUUUACUUGGACUAAGUUCAAUUAAGCCCAAAAAAUAAGCUUAAUUGAGCCCAAAGACUAAAUAUAACCUAAGUCCAUAUGGUUGAGCCCAUGCGUCUGGUCCAUGGACCAACUAGGUUCAAACCCAUAAAGCCCACCAGUGAACUCUAUAAAUAGAGGAAUUCUCCUCAUUUGUAGGGGUUGGAAAAUAUUGACUCUAGAAGAUCCAGAGAGAAUUCUUCAAAGAGCUAGAAGACUCCCUAACUCCUGAAGUUGACCAUCCUCGAAGAUUGAAGCUUCUUUAAAGAUACAAGCUUUCUUCCAAGGCUUCAACUUCAAGAACAUCACGUGCUUCGCUUCCUCCAAAUCAAGCUGAAGCAUCCAGUUGAGAGAGAAUCAGAGGAUCAAAUUCUAGAGAUUGAACCGCAUCGCAUCAAAUCAACAAAAAUACAACAUCAACUCAAGUUCAAGUCCACGAAUUAAAUUUCUCCAGAAAUCUCGUGCGAACAAAUUGGCACGCCCAGUGGGACCAUCUCUACCUCUCAUCUCUCUCUCAUCAUCUAGAUCUACAAGCAAAUCAAUGGCAUCAAAGAAAGUUGCAUCCAAAUCUUCAGCUGCAAGCGACACCUACACGGGACCUAUCACCUGUAGUCGUUCCAAGGGGAUCAUCCAAGGGCAAGACCAAGGUUCCGCCAUCGCGCAGAGCAUCCUGAAGCAAUUAAUGGAAUCUCCUAAAGCUGGAAUUGUCAUCAAGGAAAAUCCUCUAUAUAAUGAUUAUGAUUCUGCCUCUAGCAGGUCACUGAAAGAAGCACACCCAGAUGUGAUGUCCGUCAUGAUGGCUGAUGUAGCAGUCGAGACUGCCAUGGCGGAGAUGGAGAGAAAAUUAAUCUCCUGAUGAAGGUUGUUGAUGAACGAGACCACGAAAUUACAGCUUUAAAGGAGCAGAUGCAGACUCGUGAAACUCUGAAUCGAGUCAAACUUGUCGUUAAAGUUGAUGACAAAGGGAAGAACGUGGUACAAGAAAAUCAGCCACAACAACAAUCAACUUCUGUGGCUUCUCUCUCGGUUCAACAAUACAAGAUAUGAUCACAAACUCCAUCAGAGCACAAUAUGGAGGCCCAUCUCAGACUUCUUUCAUGUACUCUAAACCAUACACCAAAAGAAUCGACAACUUGAGAAUGCCGCUUGGAUAUCAGCCUCCAAAAUUCCAGCAGUUUGACGGAAAGGCAAUCCAAAACAGCACGUUGCUCACUUCGUCGAAACAUGUGAGAAUGCAGGAUCAAGAGGAGAUCAACUAGUCAGACAAUUUGUUCGAAGCUUGAAAGGAAAUGCUUUUGAAUGGUAUACUGAUCUGGAGCCAGAAAGCAUUGAGAGUUGGGAACAACUAGAAAAGGAGUUUCUCAAUCGCUUCUACAGCACCAGGCGUACUGUAAGCAUGAUGGAGCUUACAAAUACGAAACAAAGAAAGGGAGAACCAGUCAUCGACUACAUCAAUAGAUGGAGAGCUCUAAGUCUUGACUGUAAAGAUCGGCUCACCGAACUGUCGGCUGUAGAAAUGUGCACCCAAGGCAUGCACUGGGGACUCCUCUACAUUUUGCAGGGAAUAAAGCCCCGCACAUUUGAAGAACUGGCAACUCGAGCUCAUGAUAUGGAGUUGAGCAUCGCCAGUAGAGGAACUAAAGAUUUUCUUGUUCCUGAAGUAAAGAAAGAUAAGAAAGAGAUGAAAGGUGCUGAAAAGAUAGUGAAAAGCACCGCGAAAGAAUCUAUGGUCGUAAACACAACCCCGCUGAAAUUCUCCAAAGGAAAGGAAGCGAGGGUUGAAAAGAAGGAUGAUGGAAGCGAAAGGCGACGUCUGACUUUAAAAGAAAGGCAGGAAAAAGUUUACCCAUUUCCUGAUUCAGAUAUCGCUGACAUGCUAGAGCAACUACUAGAGAAGCAGCUGAUCCAGCUGCCAGAAUGUAAACGACCUGAGCAAGCAGGAAAGGUAGAUGAUCCCAAUUACUGCAAGUAUCAUCGGGUCAUCAGUCAUCCAGUAGAGAAAUGCUUCGUGCUGAAGGAGCUAAUUCUAAGGUUGGCUCGUGAGAAAAGGAUUGAGCUAGAUUUGGAGGAAGUAGCUCAAACAAACCACGCUGAAGUGACGAUAAUGUCUGAGGCUUCUUCGUCGAGAUUGAUUUUUGAGCAAAGGAAAAGCUUGGUCCAGUUCGGGACCUUUGAGCCUAUAGUUGUCCAAUUCUUUCAGGAAAUCUCAUACGAGGAUCCUCAAGGAGAGAAAAGACCAAUCGAAGAAGACGAUGAAGGGUGGAUAGUGGUGACCCACCGAAAGAAAAGACAGUCGAUCCCGACCCAAAGAGAGUCUCGCUCUUACCAAAACUAUAGAAGAGGAAAUAAGACUCAAAAGAAUAAGAAAAAGAAGAAGACUCAUAAGCUUAAGCUCGUACAUAAUGAAGACAUGAAUUUCUCUCGACCUCAACGCUUAGUGACCUUGCAGACUUCCUUCCAAAAAGCUUCCUUUGUGAUCAUCAGGAUGAAGACCCAGAAGUCGUUGCGUGUCAUGCUAUCAACACAACGGAGGAAGAAAUAAUCCCUCCAAGAUCACUAGAAGGAGAGGGAGUAUCAAAAGACCUUUCAAGGUUUAAUGUAGAGGAUCUAUUAUCACUUCCUCAAGAGACCAAAACCAUCCUUAUUGAUGCAUUGCUAAAUUCAAGAGCAUCAAGUUCGAGUACUCCGACUAUGACAUAUGAGAGUGGUUCUUAUUGUAUGUCUAUAGACUUCUCAGAUGAGGAUUUGUUGUUGGGAUCUAAACUUCAUAAUAGACCUUUGUAUGUUUCUGGAUACGUUCGAGAACAGAGAGUCGAUCGAAUCCUCAUUGAUAAUGGCUCAGCUGUCAACAUAAUGCCAAAGUCGACUAUGUGGCAAUUAGGCAUCUUGAUGGACGAGCUCUCAAAUAGCAAGCUAGUAAUUCAAGGUUUUAACCAAGGUAGCCAAAGAGCAAUAGGCAUGAUACGGUUAGAACUCAUAAUUGGCGACCUAAAGGCCAGUGCAUUGUUUCAUGUCAUAGACUCAAGGACUACUUACAAGUUGUUACUAGGGCGUCCUUGGAUUCAUGGAAACGGAGUAGUAACUUCAACACUGCAUCAGUGCUUCAAAUUUUAUCAGGACGGUGUAAAGAAGGUUGAAGCCGACUCUAAUCCAUUCUCAGAAGCUGAGUCUCACUUCGCAGAUGCAAAGUUUUAUUCAAAGAAUAAUAAUAUUUUAGAAGUUUUGCCUGCAGAAACCCCUCUUACAAAAGGAGAAGAUAAUUCACAACUGAAAUCACUCGCAACCACAGAACCACAUGAAAGUGCGAGAACCUUUAACUCUGGAAAGGGUGAAGCAUACACUAGCAGCACAAAGGGUAUGAUCUUGAAGGAUGAAAAUGCUGCAAACACACCAGUUUUGCGUUAUGUCCCUCUGUCAAGGCGCAAGAAAGGCGAAUCACCAUUCAUGGAGUCUCCAAAAGGUUUGAAAGUUGGUGACAUCGAAAUCAUAAAAGAAAGCUUCACUACACCACUAACUAAGAUAGCGAAGCAGGAGGUAAAGGUAGAUCUGGUGGAAGCAAACUUGCCCCAAAGGCGAACGAAAGACGGAUUCGACCCCAAGGCUUACAAAUUGAUGGCGAAAGCAGGUUAUGACUUCACAGCUCACACCGAGUUUAAAAGCUUGGAAAUUCAUGACCGACCUGAGCUCUCCUCAACUCAAAAGAAGCUUCUACGGAAGGACAUUCUAUACCCGUGUCGAGAAAAGGACUCGGAUACAAGUCGCCAGAACCGAUCCGUAUAACUAAAAAGGGAAGGAAAAAGUGGUUGACAUCAAUCAUAUAACUAUAGAGGAUGACAAUACUGACGUAAAAGAAGGUGAUAAUCAGAGAAUCUCAGUAUUUGAUCGAAUUAGACCAUCUGUUGCACGUCCCGUAGUAUUUGAAAGGCUAAGCAUGACAGAGGCAGAAAGAGAAAGGCUCCAGUCAGUACCAAACCUUGAGAGACAUUCGGUCUUUCGAAGGCUAACUACGACUCCCAUAAAGGAAGAAAGCACAUGCCAUGCCUUGACAACUACAAGACCAUCAGCCUUUGAAAGGCUAGGUGUGUCUAAAAAAAAAAUGUACAAGCACCCCGUGCUCCGAUUUUUAAUCAUCUCGGGGAUAAAGGAUCACACGACAACAUUGAUUCCAACAUAGCAAAGAAGAAGGAACCAAUGUCUCGUGUGAAAGUUUGGCGUCGAAUUAAGCAUACAGAUGUCGAUAAUUAUCGUAGUAAGAAGUUUCCUUGCGAGACAAAGGAAAAUGGAGAAAUUCAUAGCAACGUUCCUUCUCGCAUGAAAAGAAAAACUUUUGUUACUCUCAAUACAAGUCAAGGUUCGUUAAAGGUAAAAAGACAUGAUGUUAUACUAACGAAUCCUGAAAAAGAAGGGUCGGAACAAGGGGAAGGUGAAACUUCAUGUCAUCACAUCACCAUUAUUGAGGAAUCAGAGACUGGAACUCAUGAAGAAGACGCAGAAAAUGCCCCACAAAGUUUAGAGGAUGGUGGUCAAUCUACUGUAGACGAGCUAAAAGAGGUGAACCUUGGUACAAUAGAGGAACCACGUCCGACUUUCAUUAGUGCGUCCCUCUCUAACGAAGAGGUGGAUAAAUAUAUGAGUUUGCUCACCGAAUACAGGGACAUCUUUGCGUGGUCGUACAAGGAGAUGCCAGGACUUGACCCAAAAGUAGCAGUCCAUCAUCUUGCAAUUAAACCGGAUAUCGACCGAUUAAACAAGCACAACGACGUUUUCGACCGGAGCUUAUCCCUCAAAUCGAGGUGGAAGUCAACAAGUUGAUCGAAGCAGGAUUCAUUCGCGAGGUCAAAUAUCCAACGUGGAUAGCAAACAUUGUCCCUGUUAGAAAAAAAAAUGGACAACUUCGCGUUUGUGUAGACUUUCGCGAUCUGAAUAAUGCAUGCCCUAAAGAUGAUUUUCCCUUGCCCAUCACCGAAAUCAUGGUUGAUGCAACUACUGGACACGAGGCGUUGUCGUUUAUGGAUGGGUCGUCUGGAUAUAAUCAAAUACGGAUGGCCCUCUCAGAUGAAGAAAUGACAGCUUUCAGAACUCCAAAGGGAAUAUACUGUUACAAGGUGAUGCCCUUUGGAUUGAAAAAUGCCGCGCUACUUAUCAACGUGCCAUGCAGAAAGUGUUUGAUGAUAUGUUGCACAGGUAUGUUGAAUGUUAUGUUGAUGAUCUUGUAGUCAAAACAAAGAGACGACAAGACCAUUUGAAGGAUCUAAAAGUCGUGUUUGAUCGCUUGCGAAAAUAUCAGCUAAGGAUGAACCCUCUCAAGUGUGCGUUUGGUGUAACUUCAGGAAAAUUUCUUGGCUUCAUUGUAAGGCAUCGAGGGAUCGAAAAUAGACCAGUCCAAGAUUGAUGCCAUUCAGAAGAUGUCAAGACCUAAAAGUUUGCAUGACCUAAGAAGUCUCCAAGGACGACUGGCUUACAUCCGAAGGUUCAUCUCUAACUUGGCCGGUCGGUGUCAACCUUUUCAAAAGUUGAUGAGAAAAGGAGAAAAUUUUGUGUGGGAUGAAGCUUGUCAGAACGCUUUUGAUAGCAUAAAGAAAUACUUGCUUACUCCCCCAGUGCUGGGAGCUCCAGUACCUGACAAACCACUAAUAUUGUACAUUGCUGCACAAGAAAGGUCCUUAGGAGCAUUACUGGCACAAGAAGAGGUAAAGGGAAAGGAGCGUUCUCUCUACUAUCUAAGCAGAACAUUAAUUGGGGCUGAAGUUAACUAUUCUCCUAUCGAAAAGAUGUGUCUUGCACUUUUCUUUGCCAUUGAUAAGUUGAGGCAUUAUAUGCAGGCCUUCACGGUUCAUCUAGUGGCAAAAGCAGACCCUAUAAAGUAUGUUCUAUCCAGGCCAAUCAUCGCUGGACGCUUAGCCAAAUGGGCGGUUCUACUCCAACAAUAUGACAUUGUCUAUAUUCCCCAAAAGGCGAUAAAAGGACAAGCGCUAGCAGACUUUUUAGCAGACCACCCAAUUCCUUCGGAUUGGAAGUUAUGUGAUGACCUACCAGACGAUGAGGUUUUCUUCACAGAAGUUAUGGAACCUUGGACUAUGUACUUCGAUGGUGCAGCUCGAAGAAGUGGUGCGGGGGCAGGCAUUGUCCUCAUUUCUCCUGAGAAGCAUAUGUUGCCUUAUAGCUUUGCACUUUCCGAAUUGUGUUCAAACAAUGUGGCUGAAUAUCAGGCUUUGAUAAUUGGCCUUCAAAUAGCAUUAGAAAUCGGAGUGUCAUUCAUAGAGGUCUAUGGUGAUUCAAAAUUGAUAAUCAAUCAACUCUCGCUUCAAUAUGACGUGAAACAUGAAGACUUGAAGCCAUAUUUUGCUUAUGCUCGACAAUUGAUGGAAAAGUUUGAUAAUGUGAUGUUAGAACAUGUCCCUAGAGUAGAAAAUAAGAGAGCGGAUGCAUUGGCAAAUUUAGCCACGGCCUUGACCAUGCCAGAUGAUGUAACUCUGAACAUACCACUUUGUCAACGAUGGAUUAUACCCCCAGUUAGGCCUGAAUGUCAGGAAGUGAACAUGGCAACAUCCUAUUUGAUUGAUGAAGAAGAUUGGCGUCAACCCAUCAUAGAGUAUCUUGAACAUGGAAAGCUUCCAAAGGAUUCUCGUCAUAAAAUUGAGAUACGAAGAAGGGCAGCACACUUCAUUUAUUACAAGGGAACUUUAUAUCGCCGUUUUCUUGAAGGGCUCUUCCUUCGAUGUCUCGGAAAGGAAGAUUCGGUAAAAGCUCUAAAGGAAGUACAUGCAGGUGUUUGUGGAGCACAUCAAUCGGGACCAAAGCUUCAAUUCCAGCUAAGAAGAAUGGGCUACUACUGGCCUAAGAUGAUCCAAGAUUCAAUAGACUAUGUGAAGAAGUGUGAGCCUUGUCAAUACCAUGCAAACUUCAUACACCAACCUCCAGAACCUCUUCAUCCAACUGUGGCUUCUUGGCCUUUUGAGGCUUGGGGACUCGAUCUGGUUGGCCCCAUUACACCAAAAUCAUCAGCAGGACAUUCUUAUAUCCUAGCAGCAACAGACUAUUUUUCAAGGUGGGCUGAGGCCAUUUCAUUGAGAGAAGCCAAGAAGGAGAACGUGGCAGACUUUAUUCGAACACACAUCAUCUAUCGAUACGGUAUUCCACAUCGAAUCGUGACGGAUAAUGGAAAGCAAUUCUCCAAUAGUAUGAUGGACAAGUUAUGUGAAAAAUUCAAAUUCAAGCAAUAUAAGUCAUCCAUGUACAACGCAGCUGCGAAUGGACUAGCAGAAGCAUUCAACAAAACAUUGUGUAAUCUUUUAAAGAAAAUUGUCUCCAAGUCAAAGAGGGAUUGGCAAGAAAAGAUCGGCGAGGCAUUAUGGGCUUAUCGGACGACUCAUCGCACCCCUACAGGGGUUACACCAUAUUCGCUUAUUUACGGUGUGGAGGCUGUCCUUCCUCUCGAAAGGGAAAUUCCGUCACUAAGAAUGGCAGUACAAGAGGGAUUGACUACCGAAGAUAAUGUGAAGUUACGUCUUCAAGAAUUAGAAGCACUUGACGAAAAGCGAUUAGAGGCUCAGCAAGCAUUGGAAUGUUAUCAAGCGAGAAUGUCCAAAGCUUUUGAUAAACACGUUAAACCUCGCUCCUUUCAAGUCGGUGAUCUAGUACUUGCCGUAAGGAGACCGAUCAUCACAACAAGGCAUACAGGAAAUAAGUUCACACCUAAAUGGGAUGGACCUUACAUUGUUAAAGAAGUUUAUACAAAUGGCGCAUACAAGAUCGUUGAUCAAGACGGACUACGAAUUGGCCCAAUCAAUGGUAAAUUUCUUAAAAAAUUUAUGCUUAAUUUUGUUAGGUAAAAAAAAAAAAAAAAAAGUUGAACUACGUUAUGACUUGAUCCCUAUAUUAUAAAGGGUACGUAGGCAGCUUAAGGAAAACCUUAAGCCCAGUCCAGCAAAAAAAAAGUUGAACUACGUUAUGACUUGAUCCCUAUAUUAUAAAGGGUACGUAGGCAGCUUAAAGAAAACCUUAAGCCCAGUCCAGCAAAAAAAAAAAGUUGAACUAUGUUAUGACUUGAUCCCUAUAUUAUAAAAGGCAGCUUAAAGGAAACUUUAAGUUCAGUCCAAUAAAAAAAAAAGGAAGAAAGACAAAUUACAUUUAAUAGAAAAUAUGAUGAGGAGUGGAACAAUGAAAGAAUAAUUUUUUUUUUAUUAUUAUUAUAAACUUCUAGCAAAAAAAAAUUAAAAAGGCAUAAGUAGAUAAAUAAGAGAAAGCAGAGAAUCAUGGAGUCCAUUUAAAGUUCUUCAGCUCCUCUAGUGUGCUUUCUAAAGAUUCACGAAGUGUUGAUAGCAUUUUAGCAUCAAUAUCUCCAACGAUCGGGGCACAUUCGAGUUUGUCAAUUUCCUCACAAGUCUUCGAAAUCUCAUGUUGCUUCUGCUUCAGCUCCAGGUCGUUCUUAAAAAUUAUUCCAGAAAGUUUAGCAGACUCAACCCGCACCAUCUUUAGUUUUGCCUCUAGUUUAGCCUCCUUAGCGGACAGUCGUGUAAGACGACGUUUAGCAGUGUUGGUCUCUGCUAAUAUACGAUUCUCAUCAACUCGCAGAGUCUUCACAAAACCUUUUGCCUCCGUUAGCUGAACAUCCUUAGUUGAUUGGAGUGGAAAUGAGGAAUGUAUUUGAUUAUGGUUCUCGACACCUUGGAAGUAACCAUUCACAAGCUCCCUCAAAACAAUAAGGUUGUCGCUGCCGUUAGUCGCAAUCGCAUCAAAGAUCUUAUGCAUUUCUGGUUCAAGACUACUCAGUCGUUCAAAAGGGGUACGAAUGAUCUUCUGUCGUAGGUUUUCCCAUAAGGUUAUGGCAGCCUGUCGUCGGAGGUCAGAAAUUAAGCUGUCAGCACAAAAAUGAGAAAUCUCAGAAACUGUAAUAGGCUCUGUGCCUUCCACUUUUUGAGGAGGUCCCUUGAUCACAGGAGGACAAGCAGACACAAUAUUUGCGCCUAUAGGUUCCUUAGAGUUCCCAUUAUAAGAAAGUACAACGUUACAGUCUUCUAGAUUCAGCAUCAACUCUAGGGUAUCUUCGAUGUGUAGGUCAUGAUCACCUAAAGAAUACUACAAAAUAAUAUUAACAACAAGAAAUAAGGGGAGUAAAGGAGAGAAAAUACAAUCAAUAAAUAAAUAAAAUUGGGAGACGAAAAGAAACCAUGGGGGAAGGGACAUCGAAAAAUUGUGCAGCAUCAGGGACCCGAAUAGGAGACUCUUCAUCAUCGAUCGACUGUUUGUUAGGCUUCUUGGGUCUCUUCCAAUGGCGAUCAUCAUUGCUGCUUUGACUGUCCUCAAUACGUUUAGAAGGAUGCUUGGUAGCUAUCGAUAAGCGGUUGUCCUUACCCAUAUUGUCAAUACCACCUUUAAUAAGAUGUUUAAAUCGUGUAGAAAGAGACAAAUUAUCCACCAAGCGUUUUGUCCCUCCCUCAAUUUUCUCCACAAGUCGUUCAUCAGUUUCAUCGGAGCAUAUCUUCUGAUUUCCACUACCAAAAUUAUGUUCAAUCUUUUUUGUGGUUUUGGAUUUGAUGUGAGGGGGAGUAGGACGAUCUAUCAAAUGUUGUACUCCUUCUUGGAGGUAAUCACCGUGUUUUGCAAGCCACCAGACCUUAUAAUGAGAGGUAACAUGUGUGUCUGGAUUAGGGGCAGACACAGGAAGAUAUACUUGGGAAAGUGUAUUCUCGCGAAUACAAAUCAUCCAACAAUAUCGUACGUUAAAAAAAUUGGCUUCGGGAAUUUCUUCACCUAAGUCAUAUGGCACGUCUUGAUAAAAUCCAAAUGGUCGGCUAAAGCGACAAGGACUAUAAGGCUCAAUAACUGUGGAGGAUCCACAUUGCGAGGAUAGAAAACAAGAGCAAAUGCUUAUGAAAAAUGAAGCAUUCUAACUAAUUAACUCUCCAUCAUCCGUUAAGAGUUCGUCCUUAUUCUUUGUUGGAAGACACGCAUGCCAUGACACAUACUUUCCCUUGUGGAUAUGUGUUCGAGCCUCAAGAUUAGUAUAAUAUUUGGCCCCACCUUCACCAGAAAAUUCAACCAUGCGAGGACCCCUAAGACUCCUAGGGGCUUUAUAAUGAGUGUUGAAGUAAAGAGCAAGCCACCCAUGGACAUAGUGAAGAGGAAAACAGGCAUUUGAAUAACCAAGUGAUGAAGUAGAAUCAUGAACUUGGCGUAGGCCACUAUAAAUAUUAGCUAAAACAGGGACGGCAAGGCUAAAUGUGUAGCCUUCCGCCAUGAGGCUAGCAACCUUAAAAACCUCCGGACGAAGGGAAAGUUGCUUAUCAGGGAACACAAACACACAUAGCCAACAAGAGAGAAAUGCCGCUAGAUAGGUUUUGUCCCUAUGAUCAUCAGUGACGCUUAAGUCAAGGAACACUUUGAGUUCAGCUUUAGACCAGUCAGGACGUCUGAUGGGAAUUCCAUCUGGAUUAUGAGUUGAGCGAGGGCGAGAAGUCUUUUUAGGCUUUCGAGGAGGCGGUUUCGAAUACUUUACCUCAGAUCGUGUAACCCAAAAAGAGAUCCAUUCACUUACAGUGAUUUGAGAGUGAUCCAUGCGUUGAGAAACAAUGCGGUAAUAGGCUGCAAAUAAAUGCUCACAACUUCUUGGACAUACAUCAGGUGAUCCUAUUAAGUCUUGGUGGCAAGGAAUGCUUUCUUCAUAAAAUCUACCUUUAAUCGGGAGUCCUCCUAGUAUCCAUAAGUCCCAUAAGGAGAUGGACAUCUCACCAGCUGAGGUGUGAAGAGUGUUUGUUGAAGGACACCAUGCCUCGCAGAAAGCCCGAUCAAUGUCACUGUUGCGAUCAUAUGUAUAUAGGGAAGCCAUCACAGCAUUAAAUAGGGAGGCUCGCUUGAGUACUGCCGUAUUUCUAGCAACAACGAGCUCUAACCACUCCCAAUAAUGAGGAAGAUAGUAAAAUUCUCCAUGUACCUUGAGCACAUUUCCCCAACGAAUUUUUGGGUCGUUUAUAAUUCGACGACCCAACGUUGAUUCUGGAUCCUCAUUUGGAGGCUUGUUGUGAAUCGAAGACUCCAGAAACCAAGAUUUUAAAGAUGAAUUUGGAUUUACAAACCGUUCCUUGGACCAUUUAGGCAAAAAGAUAAAAUUGUCCUCGGGUAUUUGAGAGUCCAUAAUAUUCUCAUAUGUCCCCUCUCUCACAGGAAGAAUGAUCCCUUCCUCUAAAGAUUGAUCUACGUCCUUCAGGAUAAUUAAACACCUUUUGGUCGAGUCAGAAUACUCAGUGAAGUGCACCAUGAUGAAAAGAAGAGUUCCUGCAAAAUAAUAAUAAUAAUAAGAAGAAGAAGAAAUAGAAAAAAAAAAAAAAACCAAAACAAAAAAAAAAAAAAAAAAAAAAAAAAAAAAAAAAAAAAAAAAAAAAAAGAAAGAAGAAAAAAAAAAGAAAGAAAGAAGAAAAAAGGGGGGGGAAGAAAAAGCAAAUGGAGAUUGAAGCCCGACGAUGACAGAGUCGAUCUCUCCUACUAGGGCGAUAGAUCUGACGGCAAAAGCCCGAUCGUCCCUAGAAGAAGCUCAACAAAGUCAUUUCUGCAAACGAAGAUCGAAGCCCGACGAUGACAGAGUCGAUCUCUCCUACUAGGGCGAUAGAUCUGACGGCAAAAGCCCGAUCGUCCCUAGAAGAAGCUCAACAAAGUCAUUUCUGCAAACGAAGAUUGAAGCCCGACGAUGACAGAGUCGAUCUCUCCUACUAGGGCGAUAGAUCUGACGGCAAAAGCCCGAUCGUCCCUAGAAGAAGCUCAACAAAGUCAUUUCUGCAAACGAAGAUUGAAGCCCGACGAUGACAGAGUCGAUCUCUCUAACUAGGGCGAUAGAUCUGACGGCAAAAGCCCGAUCGUCCCUAGAAGAAGCUCAACAAAGUCAUUUCUGCAAACGAAGAUCGAAGCCCGACGAUGACAGAGUCGAUCUCUCCUACUAGGGCGAUAGAUCUGACGGCAAAAGCCCGAUCGUCCCUAGAAGAAGCUCAACAAAGUCAUUUCUGCAAACG